rnacentral:lncRNA from 1 species
UUAGGGGAUGUCCAAGGAAGUUCAUUGUGUCUAAUCUCAUACUCAACUAGGCCACCUUCCUAGCCACAUCCACUCGGUGCUAACCUUAUUUCCCAUACAAUAUUCAAUCAAGUGUGUACUUAGAGAGGGUUCCUUUUCAAAUUCAACCAACUCAUAGUACCUCUUCGCAAGAAAGGCCCCAUUUCUUAGUCAUAGCCAAUCAAGGUUCAUAAGGAUAGCUCAUUUAACUUUCUUAGAUAAGGAUUCUUAUGCCGUUCCGAGUCCAUCCAUCUCUAAGUCUAUCAUUUCACUCAAGAAUGGAACAUCGCCCUAAGGCCCAUCCUUCAAGGUUAUACAUUUACUUAGGAAUCUAGACUUAUGAAAGGGCACAAUUUCUUAGUUCUGCCGAUUCAAGUCUUGGCCUAGAAUUCCUCUUUUAGCAUUUAUAGAAAGGGCACCAUUUCUUAGUUCUAGCCCACUUCACAUAUUCAUGCAUUCAAGACGUUAAGUAAAAAGAAGAGACACUUUAGUCUACUAACCAAGUCACAGCAUUAUCAUUUGAGGACAACUUCAUAAUCCAACAUCAUCACAUAUAUACCUCAUGAGAAAUCAUACUUUAGAUCACAAUGUUAUCCACUUUACAUAGGAUCAUCACAAGAUCACAUAAACUCAUUCACAUCAUAUCUUCACAUAUAGCUUCACAUAAAACUUUACAUAUCGCUUCAUAUAGGACUUUACAUAUAGCCUCAUUUAUAUAUAAUAACACAACAAUACAACAAUACUCAUAUAAUGCCCUUCAUGGCCACAAUCAUAAUUCUAGAGCAACAAGCAACACUUCCACCAAAGGUGGAUCCAACCUAAGAAACAAUUAUAGCAAUAUUAAGAUAUCAAGCCAUCUUACCACCUUUCAAAGGCCAUAAGCCACGAUACUCAAUUUCAUGCCAAUUAUACAAUAUUCAUCAAGUUAGGUCAACUUUACCUCUUUCCAUAGCUAUCUUCAUCGUCCUCAUAGUCAAAAUAUUAACAAUGAUAAUAACCACACUCAACUAUGCAAGCUAAGCUAAACAAUAUCCAAUAACCAACAUAAAGGCUAAAUCCCAAUUUAUGACCAUUCAAGGCUACUACCUCACAUUAUACAAUUUAAUAACAAUUUCCAACAAUUCAACAUAGCUAAGAGCAUAUAAGAACAGCCCACAUCAAACCACUCAAUAAUCCUUCAUCAAUUACUCAAAAUCAAUAGACCCACUUUAGGCCAAAUUUAGAGAAUUUUGAGAACACAUGGGUUCAUGAAUAUUUCUUUCUUAAAACCAUCAAUAAACAUCAAUAAUAACAUAAAUCAUCAUUAAAAAUCAUUUAAUGCAAGAACCCAUGCUUAGAAUUCGAAAUAGGGUUUUGUGUAUUUGAAAAACCUUGAAAACCUUUUGAUUGGGCUCCUUGAAAGAAAGAAUAAUCAAGGAUAAAGGAUCCCCAUACCUUUUCUAAGAUUUCCCAAUAAAUUUGAUGAAUAAAUCCUUGAAUCCAAAACCCUAGCUCCCACCUAUUCUUCUUCUUCCUUGAGUUAGAGAGAAAUAUAGAGAGAGAGAACUUUGGGAUUUGAUUUGGGGAAAUAAUGAGUGAAUGACUUGAUAAAAAGACUUAAAACCCUAUAUAUUUAUCAAAUAAGUAAUUUAAAAUCAACCCCACAUAAUAAAACAUUAAAAUUAAAUUACCAAAAACCCCCCAACUUGAGGCAGCCCGUCAGGGACCACGCCCAACUAAACGGGUCGUGAGGGGCACCAUGGCUCGUGGUGGUGCCCGUGUUCCCUUGACCAGUGAGUCUCUCCAUCAUGUCAAACCCUCAAGGGCCCAAGGCAUCUUCACGGGGGCUCCCAUGAUCCGUGGUGCACACCACGAGUCGUGGUGGAGCUCGUGAAGAUGAGGCAGUACCUAGGAAAAAUUUCCUUGCCUCCCUUGAGACCAAGUGAUCUUUACGCCCAAGAAUACGGGCCAUCUAGGGCACCACUGGUCGUGGUGGUGCCCGUGGUCUUUGGGGUAGUGAGAAGCAAACUUGGGACAGCCUUGGCUUUUUGGCUAAGGCUUUCCCCUUUUGACUUGGCUCCUUGUCUAGCACUCUCAACCAACCUAGAGUAGGUACUCCCUUGAGACCAAGUGAUCUUUACGCCCAAGAAUACGGGCCAUACAGGGCACCACUGGUCGUGGUGGUGCCCGUGGUCUUUGGGGUAGUGAGAAGCAAACUUGGGACAGCCUUGGCUUUUUGGCUAAGGCUUUCCCCUUUUGACUUGGCUCCUUGUCUAGCACUCUCAACCAACCUAGAGUAGGUAUCAUAGCAUAGAGUCUAACACGUGUCCUGACGUUGACUCCUUAAACCCCUUUUAAAACAAGACUAGGGCAACAUUACACCACUAAAACACAUUAGCCCAAAAGACUAGUCUCCGAACGUCAUGGUCGUACCUUGACGUUUGACCUCAAAACUCUUCAAACUAAACAAAAUCCAAAACUCUUCAUUUUAACAAAUUACCAACUUCCAAAACACAUGCUAAGCUCUAGUUCAUCCUAUUUCAUUUUAGGGUCAUCACAAGUAUGCUCCAUCUUUGGUGUCCAACCCUAGAGAUGAGAUGAGUCACUUUGUGACGGGUGUGUCCGACGUUGUUAAGGAAGAGUGCCGUACGGCGAUGCUUCAUGAUGAUAUGAACAUUUCUAGACUCAUUAUGUAUGCUUAAUCUAUUGAGGAAUCCAAACUUGAGAGGAAAAAUAGAGAGUUGAAUAGGGGUAGAUCCGAUGAGCAAGGUCAACCUAGGUCCAAGAAGAGGUUCUCCAACCAAGAUUCUUCAAUGGUGAACAAUGAUAGGGUGUCUAACCCUAAUUCCCAAGGUGGGAGUGGAAGUGGUUCUUCUUUUGAGAGGUCUAGAUGUGCCAAGUGUGGGAAGCAACAUUUGGGUAAGUGCCUUGCCGGCACGGAUGGGUGCUUUGGGUGUGCAAAAAAGGGUCAUAAGAUGAGGUAUUGCCCAACACUCAAGGCAAAACGGAGAGAUACCAACCAAGCUUCUUAUGUUGGCCCGGAUCCUAAUGCCCCAAAGAAGAACCGUUUCUAUGCGCUUCAAGCCAAGGAGGGCAAAGGAGCUAAUCCGAAUGAAGGUACCGGUAAGUUAUAGUUCCUUUUGUAUAUUGAGGAUCCUUAUGUUGUUUUUAUGUUAGCCUUCGUUGAGUUUACCCCUAAGUGGAGGAUAGUAAGGUUGUGAGGGUUUUGAUAUCCUUAUCUCUUUCCUUCUAUUCUUAUUCAAGCUUGAGACCAAGAGUUCCUUAUAGCUUGUUUCAUGUUUUGACUUCUCAUGUGUGAUAUUGAGUUUCCAUGUUAUCCUUUUGUUAUGCAUGUUCUAGUUGAAUUCUUGUUAUAGGAGAAAAUGAGUUUUCAUGAAUAUUGUUCCUCAUGUUAAUAUGCAUCUAUGAUGGGUUGCCUAAUAUUUCAUGAGUUAACUUGUUGAGCAUGCCUAAAUGUGUUUUUAUGAAGAAGUUGCAUAAUGUGCUUUUAUGAGAAAAUUGCAUAAUGUGCUUAAUGAUGUUGUGAUGAGCAUCAUGUGAGUUGGAGAAGGUAAUUCCUCCAAUGUAAUGAGAAAUGAGAUGUUUUGAUGCAUAAUGAGUUUGUAGAUGUAGUUCCUACCUUCUUGUUGUGUUUGAGCCCUUUUUCAUGUGGAGUUAAUGUUUCUUCCUAUGUUUAUGCAUUUAUAUUGAUGUUGCAUGAUUGUGGGCUGCUUGUUUUGAGUCGUUAACCCCUUAAUGUGUUUUAAGUGUCAUUCGAGGAUGAAAGUUCCUAAGUGGGGGAUAAAAUGUAACGACCCUAAAAACGAAUAAGUAAAACUAGAGCCUAACGUGUGUGUGUUUGAGUUUGGUGUGAGGUUUGAGGGUGUUUGAUGUUGUCCCGAGUCAAGGUUGAGGGGUUUAGGGGUUAAACGUCAAGGUACGCCUCCCCAUGGACCACCCUAGGGGUCCUUGAGGAAGACCCUAAAGCCUAACCCCCAAGAUCACCAAAAAGCUAGAAUUUUGGGUGACCUACGGAUGGGGUUCACGACCAGUAGGUCCAUCCACUCCCCGUGGAUGGCCUCCAUAGGUCAAGACCCCAUAAGACCACUCCAAUCCCCAAACCACGGGUGUGAGUCACUACUGCAAUUUUGUCAAGGGUGCGGCCAAGUGUAAGGGUGGAUUGGUAAAUUCACCCCAAGUCUUUUUAAGUGUGUGGGCGGUUAUUUUAAGAGUAUUAAGGUAUUUUAAAAGUAUUAAAACAAUAAAAUAUUAAUUUAGAUUUCAUUCUUCAAAUUCCCCAAAUCAAACCCCUCCCUCUCAAAAUAUCUUCUCUCUAGAACUCCAUUGAAGACCAAGAGAAGAAGAAGACUUAGGGCUUGAAGAGGAAGGCUAAUUGAGUUGAUUUUUCAUGGAAUUCAUCUACUAAGGUAUGGUGAUCCAGUAUCUAGUGUUAGCUUUCACCCUAGAGUCAAUUUCAAAAUAGAUUUCAAAAUAUCAAGUUUCUCAAAAACCCUAGGCUUUACUCAAACUCAUGGGUUCUUUCAUCAAACGUUUUCAAAUGGUUUCUAAUGAAAAAUUAUGAUUGAAUUAGUGUUUAAUUGAUGAUUUAUUAUGAAAAUACUCUAUGAACCCAUGAUUUCUCUCAAUUCCUAAAUUGUGCCUUAAUGAAGUGGGUUUGUUGAUGAUGAAUGCAUGUGAAUCAAAUUUGCCUAAAUUGCUUUAUAUUAUUGAAGUAUAUCAUCACCCAUGCCCUAAUUGUAGUGAAUUUUUGGUGUGUUGGUUAUUUGGAAGUAUGACCGUUGAAGGGCAAGUUAUGAUCAAUUACUUGUUGAAUUAGAAUUGUGAAUUGAUGUUGAUCCACUUAAAAGGUGGAGGUGUUUAUUUACUAUGUAUAUUGAUCCACUUGAAAGGUGGAGGUGUUUACUUAUUAUGAACACUGUGAUCAUGGCCUUGAAGGCAUAGUGUAAGUAUUUGAAGUAUUAUCAUGAUUUUGUAUAUAUGAAUGUGAUGUAAAGCAUGUGUGUGAUCUAAAGGAAUGAAAGAUGAUCAUGUUUAGAAGCUACUAUUCUCACAUACACACACACUCUUGAAUGAAUAAUGAAUGAGGUUCGAUGAUAAUGUUAAUGAUGAAGUACUUAUUGAAAGGCUAUUCUGAAUUGUACUCUAAUGAAUUGUAACACCUCACAUAUACGGGUGUCCCUCAUGCCAUGUCUAAGGCUUGAAAACAAAAUUUAAGAAUUUUAUUGUGACAUCGCUCGUGGUUGAAAACAUCAGUUUAAAAAAAAUGAAAAAAAAAAUAAUUCUUUCCUAAAGUGCCUCAAAUAUUUAUGAAAAAUAUUCUUUAGUUAUGAGGUAUUUUCCUAUGUAUUUAUUUCAUAAGAAUUUUAUAAAUUAUUAAUAUUUUAACGUAGAUAGGUUGUUUAGUUAUGUCAAGAGAUUAUUUUAAUAUAUAAGGUAAAUUUCAUUCAAAAUAAUAUUUUUAUUAAAUGUGGUAUAUAUAUAUAUAUGAAAACGAAUGACAUAUUUUUGUACGAACCUAUGUUAUAUCCAGAUGUGUACUUAGUGAGAUUAAAAAUAAAAUAAAAAUAAUAAUAAAAGAAGGGGGUAAACACCUCCACCUCCACGUGGAAGUGGAAAGAUAGCACUACAUGUUAAAAUGAUUAAUAUUGGUCAUCACUUAUCCUAUGUAGCAUUUAUUUGUUUGAUUACUAUAUGGAAGGUUUGUUUUAUAAAUUGUUGUCCUUUGUGGGUGGCUGUUCAUUAAGUAAUUUUUAAUUUGAUUGAUUGGUUGUUAAUUAAGUUGCUACCACCGCGUUUCUCAAAAUAUAUACAUAUAGAUAUAUACCUUUUCGUUUUCACAUACGAAAAAUGGUUUCUUUAAAUUAUGAUAGAGCUAACUAAAUGCAACAUAAGUAUGGAAUUGGACUCCCUCUAACAAUUAUUUCUAUUACCAGGGAAAACAGUAGUAAGUUAGUUUAAGACAAAGCAAAAAUCAGCUUCUCCAAUAUAUACAUCUAUCUUCAAUACAUAAGCCUCGUGAUUCUCAAAAUUUUUUCAAUCUUUGUGUCUUGAGAGUUUCAAAUUAUAGCAAAUCAUAUGUUUUUGCCAAAAAAUAUUGGUGGACGGAGUAGUGAAGGCUUCGGAAUGCGGGUGUCAAGGUAUGUUAAGGUAUUAUCCUUUCUUCUUCAUAUCGUGCGAAUUCCAAAAAAUACAAAUCAUCGAAUGAGUCCUUGUUUUACUAUAAUAUUGCUAGGAAGACCCUUUGUGAAGGGCAUCGGGGUGUCAGUUGAUUUUAUUCCUUGAUCUUAUCGUAUCAUGGGUGUACUUAUAGAAGCAUGAAGUAUGUUUUACAGUUAAAGCUAUUUUCCAUCGAGUUUAUUAUCCCUUAUGUUUAUUUGCAAGCUAUUGUCUAAAGAACGAGGCUGAAGUGUUGGGGAAUUAGUAUGUUAUACCUAAAGGAGUUGUUAACCCAUUCUUACUCAUUAGAAGCUUUUACGAAAAUAUUAUUUGAAAUUGAUAUUAACGCAUAAAUCUUAUACUCUAUUAUUUUGGUUAUAUACUUGUCAAACAACCUUGUUUCUAAACAAGCUCAUACGAUUACCAACUUAGAGUCAUUUAUAGUAAAUCAAGUCAAGUAUGUCAGUUUAUUUUUGAGUUCCUAAACGACUAAAUUACUCACUCGAAGUCGAGUUAAGCAUUCAGGUAUAUCCUAAAAGCAUAUGAGGUUCUACAAGAUAUUUACAUGUUACCCGAAAGUGAUUACGGGAUUAUGAGAACAAGAGUACAUAUGGGAUAAGAUUGGAAACGUGAUUAUAGUUACCUAUGUGCAUUACGAAUUCAUGACAUGCAUUACAUGCUAUGCAUUCUACUCUCGAGAUAUAAUCGGGAGGUAUGGGGCCUAUUGCCUAUAUUUAUACGUAUGAGACGCAGAUGGCCACAAGUUGGCGAAUGUGAUACCGGUUAGCUACCGGAAAGACCACCAUUGCUAGCAUUUGGUUGGGUAUGUCAUGCAUUUGCAUCUAUAUAUAUAUAUAUAUAUAUAUAUAUAUGUAUUCAUCACAUAUGAUUACCAUGCAUAUUUAUUUAGUAUGAGUUGAAAUUUCAGCCAUGGAGGUUAUUAGAGUUUAAGUUUCAGGUGGUAUCUCUAUUACCCUUUUUAUCACAAACUUUUAAGAUUCUUUUUUUCCACCUUACAUACCAGUACAUUUUAUUCGUACUGAUGUCCCAUUGCCUGGGGACGCUACAUUUCGUAUUGCAGGUUCAGACAUAGGUCUUGAUCGUCCUUGUAAUAGGGGGGUGUUGUGUAAGCUGAGGAUUGGUAAGCUCCAUUCUUCCUGGAGCUGUAGGUUGUCUGUAGAUUUUGUAUACUCGAGUUUUGUAUAUAAUUGUUAUUGUUGGGGUCAUUCCCAAACCAGUUGAGUUGUAAUAUUCGUAGAGACUUGUGAACAAUUUGUUUAGUCCUUUCAACUUUCGAUUUAUAGCCUCGUCAGCUUAUUGUAUUUAUGAUUUAAGUUGUAGCCUUGUCGGCUUGCUUGUUCUUUACCACUUAAGUUGUCCUUGUCGGCCCUUUCUUUAUGCCAUUAAAGUUUUUGUGACCUCGUCGGUCUAAUUAUCUUGUUUCAAAAAUUUAUUAAGAUGAUAUUUUUGGCCCUCAUUGUUUUCUUCUCACUUUGUUAGAGUGGCUAACUUGAUUGAAUAAAGUAAUUACUGCCAGUUGCGCCCCCACUAGUUUGAGGUGUGACAUAAAUGAUAAUGAUGUGUUGAUUGAAAGAAUAUUCUUGAUCUUACACGAAUGAAUGAUAAUGGGAUUCUUAGAUGAAAGGCUAUUCUCAUCUUUGAAUCUAUGAGCUAUCCAAUGAAUGAAUGUUGGGUUUGAGAUGGAUGCUCUCACAUGAGUUGAGGCGCGGUGUCUAGUAACAAUCUUUUAUCCCUUAAUGUAAUGAAUGUUAAAGUACUCUAUGGGAAUGUAGGCUAAGCACCGAGAGGAUAUUGAAUGAGAUGGAAGCUCUCACGUGAGUUGAGGCGGGGUUUCUAGUAGCAAUCUCUUGAGAUGGAUGCUCUCACGUGAUUUGAGGCAGUGUAUCUAGUAGCAAUCUCCGUGUCCCUUAACUAUGUGCCCACAUAGGAUAGCUAGUGGAUCCAUUUAAGCUAAAUAUCGGUCUUCCUUACGCAAGUUGACCACCUUCUACGGUGUGGGCUUACAUGAUACUGGAUUCCAUGAUCUAGCUCUCAUGGUCUAUGUCGGUUAAACGUUUAUUCCCAUCAUGUCAUAUGUGCAUUAUAGUUUCUUGAGGAGUUCUAUGAAGUGUGGGUAGUAGUAUGGGAUGAUAUCCAUACAUGGAACGAGUAGGCUUCAAGAGGUCUAUAGUGAGUUCUCUAAGUCUUAAUGACUAAUGUGUAAGAGUCCUCUAAAUGAAGCUAAUAAAGAAUGUUGAUUUGAAUGUCUAAUGAAAUGAUGCAUGCUAUACUUGGAUUGUAUAUGAGUUUCUUCCUUAUUAUGUCCUGUUGUAUUUGAAUGUGCCUUGCCUAUGGUGUCUUCAAAGGAGUACUUAGUGUGAGUAGUAGUAUGGGAUGCUACUUGCACAUUGCACAAGUAUGACUUAGGGGUUGUCUUAGGUGAUGGGCCUUAUGUGAUUAAAUAACUUGUUAAAAGUUUAGGUCUCUUUUGUAUGAGUAUCAUUGAAAAAGGAAAGGUUGAGUGGUAAGUUCACUUUUGGUGACCUUAAUGAGGUACCUUGGUGUGGAUGGUGGUAUGGGACGUUAUCCAUACAUUGCACAAGGUAUAGCAUGAGGGUUACUUCAGGUGAAGGCUAAAUGUGAAGGUAAAGAAUUACAUGUUGAUAUUGUUCAAAUGCGAUGUUAUGACUUGUAUGAUGAUUCUAUUUGUAUUUGCCGUCUCUUAUGCUAUUGUUCAUGAUAUUUCUAAAAAGUGUCAUAAUGCAUGGUUUCCAACUAAAAUGUUCCCUUUUAAAGCAUGUUUUUGCAUGAUCAUCAUACUUAGUACAUUUUUGUGUGCUAACCCAUUCUUCUAUGUUUUUACUACAAGUGUAGGUUCCGACAUGUGAUUGCUUCUAUCAAGAUUUAAGUGCUUGGAUUACUAUUCUUCCAAGAUCAAGUGGUACGUUCUCAUUUUUUGAGGAAAAGUGUCUUUUUAGGAGUUUCUUCCUUCUCAUGUAAUAGACUACUUUAGAAUUCUAUUGUAAAGGGUUGUGUCCCUUUAUUGUUAAAGAUUAAGUCUAAGAUGGCCAUGUGAGAUAUAGUCUUCCGCUUGCAUUUUAAAUGAAUGGGUUUAGAUUGUAUGGUUUUUAGAUAAAAGUUUUAAUUCCGUACAAUUUCUAAUACCUAUGCGAAAAAUGAAUGCUUUGAGGCUUGUAUAAGACCACUUCGGGGUCGAGUAUGCCGUGUUACGAUUAGGGGGUGCUCUCGGAUUGUGACAGCGUCGCGGAGAGGGAUUUGUAAAUUUGUCUGUGAAAUUCAGUUUGAGGCCGAAUAGUCUGUGUCAAGGCUCUGUCACGAAGAAGAGAAAUUACUCUCAAGCUGAAAUUCAUCAGGCCCUCCGCGUUGCGCCCAUAUAUGCCAGAUUUGGCCAUUUCGAUUUUAGUAUAAAUAGGUUAAUAUUUUAUUUUAUUAGAUUAUCUUUUUCUGGGUUUUGAAGAACGACUAUUCGGAGAGCUGUUUCAUCAUUUUUUAGGGUUCUUUCCUAAACUCUUUUACUUUCGAUCUCUUUAUGAUAAUUAAACAUUGCUUGAUUGAAACUACUAUUAUGAGUAGCUAAAUACCCUAAUUCUAGGGUUGUGGCUACAGGAUGAUUGUAAUUAAUUAAGUUUUCCUGGAUUGCAUUUAACUAUCAUAUGAAUCUAUCUUUUGUUCUUGUUUUUCGUAUUUCGUGCCUAAUCACCAUUAAAAUAAACACAUUGUCGGAAUUGAACUCGGGAGAGAAAUAAUAGGAUAGAACGUGGGGAAUAAGGAGCAUGAUUUUCUCUUAAUAAUUAGGGUUAAUUUGUAUCUAAGAUAGGGAUAUACCUAGAAACCAUGCUUGGUCAUUAUACAAGAAGAAAUCGUAAUGCUCGGUACUUGGUCCAACAUAUCCCCGCUCAACGAUGUAGUUAGAUUGUCAUUUAUCGUAGGCGAUUAGAGGUCGGGAGACUAUUAUCCUAUUAUUAACCUUGUGAUCAUUGAUUCGAUAGUUGAUAAAAAUCCAUUUAAAUAAUAUAAAUUAAAUGAAUCCUGAUAAGAGUUGCAGUCCUGGACUUUACCCAAUCAUUGUUUGAAACCCUUGAAAUUGAAUCGCGCUUAUUUAAUUGUGUUUAACUUUUAGAUUAUAAAAUAAAUCACUCUUUAAAUCUUGAUAACACUUGUGUUGAGCUGAAAGUUUUGGGAAAAUUAAGUGAUUCUAAUCGUGAGUCUCUGUGGGUACGAUACCCGGCUCUUUAUAAUAGCCACUUUAAUACUUGAACAACCACGUACUCUUGCAUGUGUGAUUUGGGGGCAACAAGACAUUUUUUUAAUUAAAUAUUAGGAUGUGAUUUACGGAUUGAUGAAGAAAAUGCCAUUCAAAACAGUGUACUAAUUCGAACAAAACAAUGUUAGUAUAAUUUGGUGGAUCGUACUAAUACCAAUAAAAGAUAACAAAUAUUUUCAUAUAAAAUAAUUAGGGGAAAUUGUAUACAUAGUUAAGAGUUGAAACACAAUUAACUUCCUUAGCUACUGUUUGCCUAAUUAUGCAGCGUAACUAUAGUUUCAGUAGAUAUUGUAUAUCUCGCUGGAAAUUUAUUUAUUUUAUGCAAAUUGGAAUCUUAACUUAAUUAAUGAGGCAGUAAUUAGGUUAUUAAAAAAGAAACAAUCCCACAAAUCAUGGUUAUUGUAUCUUAUUAGAAUUUCUUACUAAAUAUUACUUCUACAAAAAAUAAAGAUAAAUUUAACUUUCUAAAUAAACACGUCAACAUAUAUAUAUAUACAAUUGAUUGAAAUAUAUAAAUAAGUAAUUGUAUACAACAUAAUAUGAAAUGUAUUAAUAGAAAUACAAAUCACAAAAAAUAUACAAGACAAAUUGUCCUGACCCAAAAAUGGAUGUGAUGACACUCGUCUUAUCACACUAAGACAAGUCAACAUUAACCCAACUAUUCCGAUAAAGUGCGGAAAUAAAAUAAACUUAGAAGUUUAAUACUCCCUCCGUUUCAUAAAGAAUGACCUGGUUUGACUUGGCACGGAGUUUAAGUAAAUAAAGAAGACUUUUGAAUCUUGUGGUCCUAAAUUAAAGUUAUGUCAAAUGUACAAAAUUGUCCUUAAUCUUGUGGUCUUAAAUAUGCCACGUGGAAAGCAAAAAGUAAAAUGUUACCAAAAAAGGGAAGAGGUCAUUCUUUUUGAAACUGACUAAAAAGGAAAGGAGGUCAUUCUUUGUGAAACGGAGGAAGUAGCAAUUACUAAUGUGGAUAACAAGUCAACUUAACUAAAUUCCCAAAACUUGGUUGUCACGUGCACAAACCUCUCAUGUAUUGCGAUAGAUUUGAAAGAAAAACACAAGUCUCAAAUGAUAUUGUCUCUAAAGCAGAACAAAAUCACAAUUACGAUUAAGAAGGUCCGAUGGGAUGACAAACAACUACCUCACAAAUCUCCACAACAAGCCUCAGUCAAGAAGAGACUAGAGAGUAUCACGAAUAUCCAGGCUCGUAACCUACACAAAUGUAGAAGCAAGGGGUGAGUACCAAACCACGUGGUACUAGCGCGCAGACAACUAAACACCAAGCUAAGAAUAUAGAAAAUACGUACCACUUACACUCCAACCGAACCUCCAUAAAUACAACAUGCAUAAAACCAACCCAACUUAACAGUGCACAAUUUAAAUAGUUCAUAGCUCAAUGACAACACUCGGACAAUUUUAGAUCAAUAAUACACUCGAUAAAUUCAUUAAUCACAAAUUCCACAGAAAAGCACUCAUAAGUUUACGAUAAAAAAUGUGUGCAAUACAAUGAAAAGCACUCAUAAGUUUACCAUAAUUAAUGUCUGCAAUACAAUGAAAUGCAUGUCUGACCCAUGGGGGACAUAUAUAUGUCCAUGAAUCCGCCGCGGCAUGCAACACGUCCCUUGAUAAUAGAAUCCGUUGUGGCGUCUGACACAUCCCUUGAUGAUAGAAUUCGUCGUGGCCUACGACACGUCUCUUGAAUCAUCAUAUUUGUCGCAGUGCGUGAAACUACCCUUGAAAUGGUACAUUCUCUUCCAUUUUCUUAUUCUUCCGCAAUUCACAUAACACUUGUCACAACCAUGUCUAAGAAUCAAUGUAAAAGACAUUUUCACACAAUUAUUGAGAAGAUGACCAUUUCCAUAACAAUGCACAAUUCAAAACAAUUCAAUCGUGAUACAACAUCAACAAUGAACCAAUAAGCCUUUAAAACCAUUCUCAACACAUCACACACCAAUAAUUAAUCACAUUGUGUGGAAAAUAAACCAAGAUUAGGAUUCCUAAGUAGUUUAGAAUUUAUUAUUUAUGGUAUUUCCUUAUUUAUGUUUAAUUAGGAUUUGUUAGUUUUAUAGGUUCCUAGUCCAAGUUUACUUUGGUUGUUAGUAUUAUAAAUAGGGGUGCCUUGUUACAUAUUUUCAAUGUACAAAAAUUACAAGAGUCAUUGAGUUAUUGAAUAAAGCCUCCUACCUACUAUUAGUAGAUGAAUAAGUUUCUUCUAUAUAACCAUUGUUGGGUCUUUCACUUGUGCAUAAAUUAUUACCUUGGGUAAUAUUAUUUCCUUCAAAUUGGUAUUAGAGCUUGAGAGUGAUCAUUAUUGUAACACCCCAUAUUCUAUGUGUACUAGUUCUAUUUAUUAUGCUAAAAAAAUUUCCUUGUCGUAUAGUUAUGGACAUGGUUUCCUAUGCAACUAGCGACAAUAGAAUAGAAUUAAAGUGAACUGUCCGUAAAUUUUAAUGCGACCCGAUUAAGUUGAAGUCGAUGAAAGUAUUUAAACUUGAGAUCAUAAGUUGGUAUUUGAGUCUAAAGUUUAAAGUGACAUAGUGUAUAUAAGUUUUAAGUUAAGUUAAAGGUAUUAAGGUCUAGAAAGGGAAUAAAAUAUUAAGGUGCUUGCUUGACUUCACUAAGCUAGUAAAUGACAAGUAGGUGCAUUACCUACUUUGACUUAUUGACCAGCCCAAAGGACCAGGUAGGUGCAUCACCUACUAAGACUCUUUUGACCAUGUUAUUGGCCCAAGUACACUACACCUACUUGCAUUAAUGUGGCCCAACUUGAAUAGAAGAAUAAGGGGAAAAUGGACAGCCAAGGCCCAAUCUUUCAAAGCCCACAAGAAAUAAUUUGAAUGGAAAAGUAGGUGCAUCACCUACUUAAAUGUCUGGCCUAAAUUAAAGAUACAUGUUUGGCUGCAAAAGAAGUACAAGAAAGGUGGCAAAAGGCCCAAGUGAAAAGUCCAAGUAGGUGGGUCACCUACUUGAAAAAUUAUGGCCCAAAAUGAGUGAGAAAGCCAGCCAAAGCAGGUCCCUUUAAAAGGGAUUGAUAUCAGCCUUUUCCAACCAUUUUUACUUUGCAAAAAAUCUCAUUUCUAGAGCUUUCUCUCUUCUCUCUCUUAGCUUCAUACAACAGCCAUUAAAUACCAUUAGGGUUCUUCAAUAUUAGGGAGUUCAAGUUAUUGGAAGGUAUAAUUUAAGACAUGUUAAGGAAGAUAACCUUUAUCUUGAUGAAUCUAAGUCUUAGCGAGUGAUAGUUUUGUCCAGCAAGGUAAGCUACUGCAAUUUUCUCCCUCUUGUGCUUGAUUUAAUUAGGACAGUUGGUAUGUGUCAGUGAGUUGGAAAUUGUUACUUUUACAUGGUGUAAUAUUGGGGAGGAUGUUCUGGUGAUUAGUGCAUGUUGGGACAGCCAUGGAUGGGAGUCCUCUUUAACUUCAGUCAUGAAAUUGUUUGAGCACCUUAAAAGUAAUGUUAACUCUUCAAGUGUUGGUGAUCAGAAACCAUGAUUCAUAUUUCUUCUGUUACGUUUAAGGAUUGUUUUAUGUAUGUUAUGAUAAAGGGAUAUGACUGGCUGUGCGGGUAAGUUAUGGAGAUGUUAAAGGACUUAAAUGUUGCAGGGGGGUUUGGGGAGGACCUGAUACGAAGGUUGUACAGUAUAUAGACGUGAUUUAAGGGAAAGGGAAGGAAAGAAAACAUUGACUAGAUAAAUUGCAUGCUUACUGCGUGGUUAUUAUUUUGGUGAGAUCAAGUAGCUCAAAUUGAUUGAUUAGCUACUAAUACUAGUCUUACAACUUAUUUUAUUGUAGAUUAGUAAUCUGAAGAGAAGGAGAUUCAGUCAUACUUUUUGAAUUGUAUAGCAAGGUAUGUAAGGCUAUUCAAUUUCCUAUUUCUUUGGCAUAAAUCCAACACUUGCAUUACAAAAAGUAAACUUUCUAAGUGCCCUUGGUAGUGACUGAUCCAUAGGUGCAGUUCCUACUCACUAGAGCAUUAAAGUGAGUACUCUAAUAUGAGUUUGUUACUAAAUGUACGUGCUUACUCUACCAAGUAUUAGCAUGCAAGGUUUAAACUUGUAUCACUAUCAAAGUACCCUUGGCACGUAUUUACCCUUAAAUAAAUCAAAAUGAUCCUAGAUUACACAUGGUACAUAUGUUUGUAUGUUGGAUAUACAAUCGGCCCAUAUCAUGCCAACUAGCUUCAAUUAUCUAUAUAUAUGUCAUCUUUGUCACAUGUUCAUAUGUUCCCUUUAUUGGUUAUUACUCCCAUUGUGUUAGACUAUAAUGUUACCUCACAAGAUCCCUACUUGCUCUGUUGUACAUUUUAUAUGUACUUACAUGGAAUAUGUAUCCGUUCUUAAGUUGAUUCUGCCCACGUUCUCCCUUGGUUCCACUUUUCAUGUAUACCUUGUAUUUGAUAUUAGUUAGUGAGUAUUCGGCUACCAUAUAAAGUUCAAAUCUCUUGGCUGAAUAUUAAAUGUCUUCACUUGAUAUGUUCUUCAAUUUUGAGAUGUCAAAAUGCUUAACUGAGUCAUAUGCUCCUAAGUAUUACAUGUGCAUGUCACAUUUGCUUCCCAUGUCAUUGUUAUUAUCGUAAGUCCAUAUUCAUAUGUCUUCUACUACUGGUCCAUAGUUCCAAAUCUCAACAACGAUUAUGACCACCAAAACAGCAAUCUCAAAAGAGAUAUUGAUCAUCAAAAGAACAAUCUUUAAAGAGUUAUGAUUAUCAAAAAAAUAAUCUCGAAAGAGUUAUGAACAUCAAAACAACAAUCUCAAAGAUAAAGGAUUUAAAGUGAAGCUAUCUGUAUAAUUAUGGGUGGCAUCCCAGGGGCAAUUGCCUAGUAUGGGUAGAUCCUAAUUGGUAUAGAAGGGUGGCAGCUCAGGGGCAAAAGCCUAGCAUGGGUCGAUCCCAAUUGGUAUAAGAGGGUGGCAGCUCAGGGGGGAAAGCCUAGCAUGGGCCGAUCCCAAUUUGUGGAAUUAUGAGGACAGCAUCUCAGCGGUUAAAAUGCCUAGCAUGGAUCAUCCUCUUCUACCGCUGAUCAGCUGGUCAUUUGUAUCAUAUGUCUUAUAAAUAUUAUAAUGCAAAGAAAAGUAAAGAAAAGAAUGUAACAUACACGAUUCCACAAGUAUAAGAAAAGGUGGUCUCUAAUCCUUAUUUAUUGUUAUUUGGUUUCACUUGAGCUCUCAUUUUACAUAUGAUUGUAUUAUGCCUUACAUAUUCAGUACAUUUUUUCAUACUGACGUCCCUUAUUGAGAAUGCUGCAUUUCAUGCUGCAGGUACAGGUAUUCAACUAGUAGAUCUCCCAAAUAUAAGCACAUGAUACUCAACGGUUGUUGGUGAGCUCCAAGUUGAUUCAGUGAUUUGCUGAGUCUUUACUAUGCGUAUUUCAUAGUGGUACAGUCAUGGAUUCUAGUAGAGGCUUUGUAGACAUUGUAAAGCUAUCAUCUGUAUUCAUAGUUUCACUUGUCACAUGUAUCGGUUUAGCUAGUCAAUAUAUGUUGUAUAUGAAGCUUCUCAUCAGUAAAUCUAUCUGCAUAAUAGUUUACUUUCUAAUCAUAGGUCACUUGUAAAUCAUGUGUUCAUGUGGUAUUUGUCCGCCUUACCUAGGGUUGGGGUGUGACAAAAGUGGUAUCAGAGCAAUUCGUCCUCGGGAGUCUACAAAGCCGUGUCUAGUAGAACCUUACUUAUGAAUGUGUUGCGCACCACAUUUAUAAUUAGGGGGCUACUUGGACAUUUAGGAAAUGUUACUAUCCUUCAUAAUCCAGAUCGUGCAAUAGAGCGAAGUUAAGAAGUCAAUUUCCACGUGUACCUGAUCAUGUUAUUUAUAUUAUGUUUACGAUGGUUAAGGUUAAUGGUAGCUAAAAUUUCAACAUGCAACUUACAGAAAAGGAUAUGAACUUAUCAAUAUUUAGACUACAUUGAACUCAUUUUAUUCGACCGUCCCACUCCACAAGGUAUUUAAAGGCUUUUAUGUUAUAUGCAUUUUAAGUUGCAUGUUUGCCAUUUGUAUCACAUUGGUUCAAUUGAGAUAGAUAUAGUAAGGUUAUCCAUAUACUUAAAAAUGAUGGGUCACUAGUUACAUAUAGGAGCUGUAGCAUUUCUAAGCACAUCUUCAUAGAAGGAUGUAUCCAACUCUUGAGUUCUAUAUUUCCUCCAUAUUUAUAGGAUCUAUUCCUAUGGAGGACACUCGUUCUUAGUCUGUGCUAUACAUAGAAUUUUUGGUAUUAAACAUGUACUCUAAAUUGAUGUUGUUGAACCAGUUUCUUUUAGUUGGAAGAAGGCAGUGGCACAAUCUGAUCGCUAAAUGUAUCAGUGCAAUAGUGUUACUAGAGAUACCCCUAAUUGGCUGACAGGCCUAAAUUCUCACCAUAUAUCAUCCCGAAUAUGUUAAUAGUUGGUUUUAUAUGGUAUGUUCCAACCACCCCGAAUAAGUACUAAUAACAUUUAUAUUCUUUUCAUGAUUAUAAAACUUAGAGAUAAGUGUGCUAAUUGCUGCAAAUGAUUUAUGUAUGGUAGUUCCUACUACAAUCUAUAUUUUGGCUAUAGAGGAUUAGUAUGUGACCAAAGGGUUAAGGUUAACAAAAGAAAAAUUGAUUGGUUAGACCUAAAUUGUGAUUAGUUAGGUUGUACAUAGUGGGAUUAGAAUACAUGAAGCUACUAGCUUUGAUUAAAAGGUACUUGUUAGACAGGAAGCAUGUGAGAAUGAAACUUGAAUGACACAUGCCGAAUAUGUACGUAGAGCAUUAUUCACAUGUAUUGACUUCCAUCAAUAUGAAUAGAGCUACUACAAGGUUCAUUUAAUAUAUGCAUGUAGUAAUUUGUUAGUCAGUCUAGUUAAGGGAGAGGAAAAAAUGAUCAUAUCCUAGUUGUUAUUAUUUGCUAUCUUGCAUGGGAAAGUAGUCGGAGCACCCUCACUUGUUAUUAGAUUUCAUGUUUUAUGGUGCAUUCAAGAUUCACUAUUUAUUUUCUAUUUCGACCUUCAAAGGGCACCAGGCGUUGAGCGUGAUAUAACACAAGCUAGUAAUGAAGGCAAAGUUGACCUCGACCUCCUACUAUAAAACAUGAACUAUUAAGGAUUUUCUUUUUCUAUCUUGACUGUAGUGUUUAUAUUGACCUAGACGGAAGCCAAGUCCCAAUAGCAGAACACCUAUAAGAAUUCUUAGGAGAUUGAAAAGAGUAGAUGGGGAAAUCAAUUGUAUGUGUUUAGGUGAGUAAGGAAUAUGAGCAAAGCUAUUCCACCUAUGUCUUAACGCUUAAGACAGUGUGUUUUCCCUUAAUAUGGUAGAGUGGUUCUAUAAGAUAUCUCGUAGUUUCCAAAGAUGGUUUGUUAUAUAAUUAUACAUGCUGCAUGUUCCAUAAGUUAUCUAUGUGUAUGUCAUUUGCCCUUUGCGGAUCACUUUCUCACAUGUUUUCUAAUGUCAUAGAAUGCUUACAUGUAAGUGUUAUCCGCUUCAGAGUACCUUUGUUUAUUGUUAUAUGUUUUUGUAGGACCUUUUCCUUACAUGUUCUUUAUUGCAAUGGUUACUUUUCACAUGUCACUUGUCCAUAUUGUGUAGGUACUGCAUGCUAAUUGAUCAUAUGCAGUGGGAAAAAUUAGUGCUCGUGGUUUAUAUGACUCGCAUAUCACUUGUUUUACAUGUCAUAUGCAUCAUAAACCAUUUCUAUGUAUAUUACAUGCCUCGUAGCCUACUUGCUUAAACAUUACAGGCCUUAUAACUUUUCUAGCCAUGUGUCAUGUGUUCACUUGCUCAUAUUUCAUAAGUGUACUUAUUAUUGACAUGUUAGGUCACCAAUACAUGCAAUAUAACGCACUUGAUCAAUGUGAUUUGUGUUCCGUAGUUCAUAUUUCAUAUAGUCUACUUGCUUACGUAUUAUAUAUUUUGUAGCUUUAGUACUCAUGCAUCAUGUGCUCAUCUAGUCCAUUUCCUACAUUCCUUAUAGUUCAUUCGCUCACACGCUACCUUAUGAACCAUAUGUGUGCGUACACCAUAUAUUUCUAUAGCUUAAUGCACGUAUAUUAUGCGCUCCCCUUUGUGCUAAUUUGCCUAUGUGUCAUACCCAAUGCGACUUAUUUAUUUGUACAUUAUGCCCCUCUCUGAUUAUUGACUUGAGUUUUGAACAUUUUAGUAAAACAUUUCCUUGUAUCAUUACGUAGUGAAGAUUUUGACCAGAAAAGGUUGGGCUUAUAUGUAAAUUUUAUCACAACCAUAGAUAAAUAACUUAGCAUAAUGCCUUAUUCGAAGGUGCGGCAUAAAACUUUAGAUUUUAUAUUAAUAGCUAUGUGUUCUUAUAAGUCUCACCUCUGUAAAGCUUCAUGAGAUAAAAGAGAAGGGAAAGUAGAGCCCCGAUAGGUUAGGCCUUUGAUUUUGUGUUUGUUCCAUCUACGAAAAAAUUGGGAGAUACGUACCUCCAUUAAAGUAUUGUGGAAGGAAUAGAAUAUAACAUAAGAUACUUGGGAAUAUGGUAGAGAUCCUAAGUACCCCUCCUCAUUCUAAACAUCAACAUAAGGAUCUGAGAUCAUGUGGUUCCCUUAUAUGAUCAUGAAUCAUACUAGCAUUUGUUCAUCUGAUAUGUCAUUUGCAUGUCUUGUGUUUAGGUAUAUUAAAGUCCUUAUUUGUAUGAGUUCUACUUGUGUAUAUUCAAUGAAUUACAUGGUCAAGAAAGGGGUUUAAUUUGUCAUAUUAUUAUUUUAUGAACCAUAUCUAUUGAGACUUCAUGAUAGACUUGUCAAUAUGUGUUUUAGGUUAGUCUAUGGAUUUUGGAUAAUCCUAUUUAUAAUGGGAACUCUCGCAAAUCUCCAAAUGAAAUUCCAAGGUUAACCAAACUAUCAGCUUCACCCAUCAUUCGAGGACAAAUGAUCAUAAGGGGGAGAGGAUGUCACACCCCGUAUUCUACGUGUACUAGUUCUAUUUAUUAUGCUUAAAAAACUUCCAUGUGGUAUAGUUGUUGACACCCAAUUUUGGCCCUCCACAAUUUAAUUAAUUUUUAAGCUUCUUAAAUUUUGAACAAAUUGAAGUAAUUAUUUUGAAAAAAAAUCAAAAUUACUUUUGAAAUCAUUUUCAAGGCAAUUUUCCAUUUUUACUAUAAAAUAUAUCUCUAUAUACUUAGAUUUAUAUAAUUUUUCAAUUUUGAAUAAAUAAUUAGCAAAACGUUUUACCAAAAAAUAAUGUUUUAAUUAAGUACGUAUAGUAUUUCCUUUAAAACUGAUCAAAAUUUUUAAUUAGUGUGGCAAUUAGCGUUAUUUUCGAUAAUUAGUUAAUUAUUUCACAUUUGUAAAAAAAUCAAGAAGCUUAUUAAUUGAUUAGAUACAUAACUAUUUCCUUUGAAAUUAAAUUGGACCUCAACUUUUCAAUUCAAAUAAAGAGAAGACCCAAUUUCUUGGCCCAUUUUCAAAGACCCGGCCCAACUCUCUAAUCCUCAUACCCAUCAGAUUACAUACAAUAACAAUACAUUAGUGCCAACUGACCCCAUCACGUUUCAGCUUCACGCGAAGAAAUCCAGAAGCGACAACAACGUCAAUACACAGUGAUCCCAGACAGCGUGAACAUAUGCAGCAAACGGCGUCAAAUAGACGGAACAGUACUCCCUACGCAUACAGGCGGUACACAGCUUUAUUCUCGUCGUCUUCUUCCUUUCCCUCGACAAACAGUACGCCUAGUACUGUUCCAGCCUUUUCCAGCCGCGGAAUCGUCCUUGCUUACGCGGAUUGACGCCACGUCGAGUUCAAGGACACCCAAAUGAAUCGGGAUCGUCCACCUCUAUUUCAAUCCGUUGAAAUUGUGAGAAUUCUAGUAUUUUUUAGAGAAGGGGAGUUGGAAUUCAAAUUGGUGGGCCUUGUUCUUACCCAACGUCUCAGUCCUUUUUCGAAAAUUCGGAACCCUAGUUUUUCCUUAUAAAUAUCCCUGUUAUUUCACUGAAAUGGGGGGGGGGGUCGUUCUUCACUGAUAUACAGAGAGAUAUAAGAUUUACAAAGAAAUCGAUUUAGAUAGUCCAAAGCUUUAAGGUUUAAAUUUUUUUUCAUAAGGUUUUGUCCUUGAAGUCUUCAUCCAAGCUUUCCGAAAAAGCUCCUUUGGUGGUGGACGCUCGUUGUUUACCACUCGUCAUUCCAGUUCGCUGCCCAGAACUAGGUAAAUUCUUUCUUAGCUUUUUUUGUGUUUAAUUCCCAGCUUGUCUUCUAUUUAUGUGUUCUUGGCUUUGUUUAGACUUUGGUUCGAUAUUUGAAUAGCUAAUAAUGUUUCUUCUGUGCUUACUGUUUUAUUGUUAUAGUCGUAAAUCUUCCUAACUUCUUUGGUGUUCUAUUUGUGUUGCUCGUCUGAAUUGGUCGUGAAGAUUAAUGUUCACCUUGUUUCUAGUCCUUACAUUUUUUCCUUUAAUGAUAAGCAUCCAAUUUUGUGUUUAUGCAUCUAAGAUGUUAAGCUUAUUAGUUUGAUUUCUCUGUUAAGAACUAUUGUGUCCAACAUAUUCAUUUAUUUUCUAAUAUUUUCUUUUUUGGCAUUAUACUGUACCCUUGCUCAUGUUUCUUUAUAGGUGAUAUUUGUUCAAGCUUAAAUUUGCUAACAACAUGUUUUAGUAUGGUUUCGAGUACGUUUCAGUAACUGUCACUUUUUUUUUUGAAAGAAAAAAUGAUGGUUCCUCAGUGUAUCCUAUUUUUAGUUUUUGGGUUCAAAAAUGGGUAUUUAUUUAGCUUAAAACUAAUCUUGUUCUUGAACUAUUGCAUUUGUAAGCUUGAAUCUCUUGAACUCGUGGGCUGCUUAAGUUCUCUUUUUAUAUCCAUUUAAGCUUCAGCUUCAUAUUGCGCGUUUUAGUUUGAUUUUCUUCUCAUCUAAGUUGGGUAACUACUGAUUUGUUGUUUUAAGGUGAAUCCUUGUUGGUGGUAUGAACUUAAGAUGCUUCUGUCCAAAUGAUGAAUGUUAAAUAGGCUUGAGCCUAUUUAUGUGUUAGGAUUAGCUGCUGAUUCUCUCUGCGUAUUGAUCAUGGCUCGGCAAUAUUUCUUAUCGUUAAAUUAGUUUGGAUUACCCCAUUUGUCCAUAUGCUUUAAGCAAGGAUUAAUGUCUCUUUUAUACUCUUCAAGUUAAUUCUCAUAAUCAUGAAGAUUGUUAGAAUGUUCUUGCCUCCUUAUUGACUUUCAUCUGAUUCAAAUCCUCUUACUAGUUCAUAGUAGGACGGAUUUAUAAAUUGGUAAUCGCUCUCAAUGAAGUCGAGCUUGCUUAGUAUUUGAGUUUGAGUAUCCUGUUUAAGUAGCUAUUGCAUUUAUCAUAUAAUCUUUUAUUUUGAUGAGUGAAUCAUGAACUGGUGUUGUUAGUUUGAUUUCAAGAAGUCUUAAACCUUUAAGCGUUGUUUUAGAGAUCCUUUAGAUCGUUUUCAGAAAGCUCCAAAAUUUAGUUUUGUUUACCUUCUUUCCCCGAGUUACUGAUUGAUAGGUUUUUUUAAACAUGUUUACAUAUGGCAGUCUCUGUUGUUUUGAAUAGAAUUCAUACUAAUGUCAGUUUGCUUUCCUAAACAAUGAUAGAUAAUUAUAGUUGAUUGUUUAAUAAAAUAUCAGCAGAGAUAGCAUGUCAUUAAGAGUUUUAAGCUUAAGUUGAUAUCAUCCUAAUGUUGUUGUUAAUCUUUUUCCUCUUUUCUUGGCAUGAACUCUCUCGUUUGAGUCCAAUUGGACUCCUCAUUUUGCAUUUUCCUCUCCGAGUCGACUCUCCUUUAAACCAAUUGAAGGGGAAGCUAAUAUCAUUGGGUUGAAACCCAAGUAAUACCAACGGAUCAGUGGCAGCAAGUAGCAGCAACAUCAGUCUUAAAAGGCCGAAAACGAAGUGCAAAAUUGGGUUGAAACCCCCAAAAGACAGCGGCAGCAGUAGCCUUGAAAAGGCUGAAAUUUGAUAAUUUUUGACUCUCAAAAGUCCACUAAAUGCAGCAGAUUUGCAGCAGCCUCGAAGGGCUGGAAAUAGCAUUUUUUGGACUUUAGAAAAGGUCAAAAACAGCAGCAGUAGCAACAAAUAAGAAGCAGCAAGUGGACUUAAAAUUGUCCAAGUUCUAUUCGCGUUUUUGUUUUCCUUAUAUCGUGAUUUUGUGAUAGUUUGUUUUUAGCUUCUAACAUUAUUUUUGUUAACUUGGAUGAAUCUUUGGGAGGUUUUUAAUGACUUUUUUUUUAAAAUUUAUUAUCUCGUUACUCAUUCAUUUUUAAGUAAAGUUUUCAAACCCGUUUUAGUUAAGACAAUCGAAGCUUUAAGACUAACUUGAGAAUUAUUCAUAUUCUUUCAUAGUUAGUAUUUAGCUUUCAAAUCCACGUCUAAGUGAUUGUGUUGAUUAUUCGACUCAAAAAUAUGACUCGGAUAAAUUGUUAAGUUAAAAUUUUAUUUUGGCACUUUAACAUUAUAAUUAUUUCAUUAUUUGGGAUAAUACGAAUGUACAAGUAUCAAAAGAUUUCUCGUUUUAAAAUAAUAAUAAUAAGAUUUUCAAGUAAUUUAAGUUUUCUUUUAAAAAUAGCCAAGCUUUUAAAUCCGUCGGUCAACCGCAUGUUAGCGGAUUCUCUAAGAUGCCUAAACCCUUCCUUAGAGAAUUAUUUGAACCCUUACCCGACUCUGGUUUAUUCUAAAUGUUUUUCUUUUAAAAAUUAUCCUUUUUAAAAUGGUUUUCUUAAUUUUUCCUAAAAAAUUAAGUGGCGACUUCCAAAUUAUGAAUCUUUUCCAAAACUUUACAAAAUUGCCAAAGUUGCGAAAUUGGCUUCGAAACCUUAGUUUUCGAAAUCGGGUCGUAACAAUAGUUAUGGACUCGGUUUCCUAUGCAACUAGUGACAAUAGAAUAGAUUUAAAGUGAACUGUCCGUAGAUUUUAAUGUGACCCGAUUAAGUUGAAGUCGAUGGAAGUAUUUAAACUUGAGAUCAUAAGUUGGAAUUUGAGUCUAAAGUUUAAAGUGACAUAGUAUAUAUAAGUUUUAAGUUAAGUUAAAGGUAUUAAGGUCUAGAAAGGGAAUAAAAUAUUAAGGUGCUUGCUUGACUUCACUAAGCUAGUAAAUGACAAGUAGGUGCAUCACCUACUUUGACUUAUUGACUAGCCCAAAGGACCAAGUAGGUGCAUCACCUACUAAGACUCUUUUAACCAUGUUAUUGGGCCAAGUACACUACACCUACUUGCAUUAAUCUGGCCCAAGUUGAAUAGAAGAAUAAGGGGAAAAUGGACAGCCAAGGCCCAAUCUUUCAAAGCCCACAAGAAAUAAUUUGAAUAAAAAAGUAGGUGCAUCACCUACUUAAAUGUCUGGCCUAAAUAAAAGACACAUGUUUGGCUGCAAAAGAAGUACAAGAAAGGUGGCAAAAGGCCCAAGUGAAAAGUCCAAGUAGGUUGGUCACCUACUUGAAAAAUUAUGGCCCAAAAUGAGCGAGAAAGUCAGCCAAAGCAGGUCCCUUUUAAAAAGGGAUUGAUAUCAGCUUUUUCCAACCAUUUUUACAAUGCCAAAAAUCUAAUUUCUAGAGCUUUCUCUCUUCUCUCUCUUAGCUUCAUACAACAGCCAUUAAAUACCAUUAGGGUUCUUGAAUAUUAGGGAGUUCAAGCUAUUGGAAGGUAUAAUUUAAGACAAGUUAACGAGGACAACCUUUACCUUGAAGAAUCUAAGUCUUAGCAAGUGAUAGUUCUGUCCGGCAAGGUAAGGUAGUGCAAUUUUCUCCUUCUUGUGCUUGAUUUAAUUAGGACAGUUGGUAUAUAUUAGUGAGUUAGAAAUUAUUACUUUUAUAUGGUGUAAUGUUGGGGAAGAUGUUCUGGUGAUUAGUGCAUGUUGGGACAGCCAUGGAGGGGAGUCCUCUUUAACUUCAGUCAUGAGCUUGUUUGAGAACCUUAAAAGUAAUGUUAACGCUUCAAGUGCUGGUGAUCAGAAACCAUGAUUCAUAUUUCUUCUGUUACAUUAUUAUGUUUAAGGAUUGUUUUAUGUAUGUUAUGAUAAGGGAUGUGACUGGAUGUGCGGGUAAGUUAUGGAGAUGUUAAAGGACUUAAAUAUUGCAAGGAGGUUUGGGGAGGACCUGAUACGAAGGUUGUACAGUAUAUAGACGUGAUUUAAGGGAAAGGGAAGGAAAGAAAACAUUGACUAGAUAAAUUGUAUGCUUAAUGUGUGGUUAUUAUUUUGGUGAGAUCAAGUAUCUCAAAUUGAUUGAUUAGCUACUAAUACUAGUCUUACAACUUAUUUUAUUGUAGAUUAGUAAUCUGAAGAGAAGGAUCUUAAGUCAUACUUUUUGAAUGGUAUAGCAAGGUAUGUAAGGCUAUUCAAUUUCCUAUUUAUUUGGCAUGAAUUCAACACUUGCAUUACAAAAAAGUAAGCUUUCUAAGUGCCCUUGAUAGUGACUGAUCCAUAUAUGCAGUUCCUACUUCCUAUAGCAUUAAAGUGAGUACUCUAAUAUGAGUUUGUUACUAAAUGUACGUGCUUACUCUACCAAGUAUUAGCAUGCAAUGUUUAAAUGUGUUUCAUCGUCAAAGUACUCUUGGCACAUGUUCCCCUUAAAUAAAUCAAAGUGAUCCUAGAUUACACAUGGUACAUAUGUCUGUAUGUUGGAUAUACAAUAUGCCCAUAUCAUGCCAACUAGCUUUAAUUAUCUAUAUAUAUGUCAUCUUUGUCACAUGUUCAUAUGUUCCCUUUAUUGGUUAUUACUCCCAUUGUGUUAGAGUAUAAUGUUACCUCACAAUAUCCCUAUUUGCUCUGUUGUACAUUUUAUAUGUACUUACUUGGAAUAUGUAUCUAUUCUUAAGUUGAUUCUACCCACGUUCUCUCUUGGUUCCACUUUCAUGUAUACCUUGUAUUUGAUAUUAGUUACUGAGUAUCCGGCUACCACGUACAUUUUAUAUGUACUUACUUGGAAUAUGUAUCUAUUCUUAAGUUGAUUCUACCCACGUUCUCUCUUGGUUCCACUUUCAUGUAUACCUUGUAUUUGAUAUUAGUUACUGAGUAUCCGGCUACCACAUAGAGUUCAAAUCUCUUGGCUGAAUGUUAAAUGUCUUCACUUGAUAUGUGCUUCAAUUUGAGAUGUCAAAAUGCUUAACUGAGUCAUAUGCUCCAAAGUAUUACAUGUGCAUGUCACAUUUGCUUCCCAUGUCAUUGUUAUUAUCGUAAGUCCAUAUUCAUAUGUCUUCUACUACUAGUCCAUAGUUCCAAAUCUCGACAAUGAUUAUGACCACCAAAAUAGCAAUCUCAAAAGAGAUAAUGAUCAUCAAAAGAACAAUCUCUAAAGAGUUAUGAUUAUCCAAAAAAGAAUCUCGAAAGAAUUAUGAACAUCAAAACAACAAUCUCAAAGAUAAAGAAUUUAAGUGAAGCUAUCUGUAUAAUUAUGGGUGGCAGCCUAGGGGAAAAUGCCUAGCAUGGGUCGAUCCCAAUUGGUAUAGAAGGGUGGUAGCUCAGGGGCGAAAGCCUAGCAUUGGCCGAUCCAAAUUGUUAUAAGAGGGUGGCAGCUCAGGGGCGAAAGCCUAGCAUGGGCCGAUCCCAAUUUGUAGAAUUAUGAGGACAGCAUCUAAGGGGUUAAAAUGCCUAUCAUGGGUCAUCCUCUUCUACCGCUGAUCAGCUGGUCAUCUGUAUCGUAUGUCUUAUAAAUAUUAUAAAGCAAAGAAAAGUAAAGAAAAGAAUGUAACAUACACGAUUCCACAAGUAUAAGCAAAGUUGGUCUCUAAUCCUUAUUUAUUGCUAUUUGGUUUCACUUAAGCUCUCAUUUUACAUAUGGUUGUAUUAUGCCUUACAUAUUCAGUACAUUCAUUCGUACUAACUUCCCUUAUUGGGGAUGCUGCAUUUCAUGUUGCAGGUAUAGGUAUUCAACUAGUAGAUCUCCCCAAUAUUAACACAUGAUACUCAGCGGUUGUUGGUGAUCUCCAGGUUGAUUUGGCGAUUUGCCGAGUCUUUACUGUGCAUAUUUCAUAGUGGUACAGUCAUGGAUUCUAGUAGAGGCUUUGUAGACAUUGUAAAGCUAUCAUCUGUAUUCAUAGUUUCACUUGUCACAUGUAUCGGUUCAGCUAGUCAACAUGUGUUGUAUUUGAAGCUUCUCAUUAGUAAAUCUAUUUGCAUAGUAGUUUACUUUCUAAUCACAAGUCACUUGUAAAUCAUGUGUUCAUAUGGUAUUUAUCCGCCUUACCUAGGGUUGGGGUGUGACAAUUAUAAAAUCCCUGUGUGAGAUCCAACAGAUAUAAAAGAAUAUGAGUAGUCCAUACAUUGCCCCUUGUCCCAUUUUUGUGUUUGAUGGAAAAAUAAUUUUGAGCUUUGGCAUUCACAAAUGAUACAUUUCUUCAAAGUUGUUGAAUUAUCAUCUAUUAUUGAAAAAGGAUUUGUGGAAGUCCCAGAAGGCACAACAUUGACUAGUGAAGCUACAAAGCAAUUGGAGAAAAAUAGACAAUUGGAUGAUAAGGCUCGUUUUUAUCUUUAUAGAAAGGUUGAAUUGCAUGUAUGUAGUAUAAAUUUACAUGAUAAGUCAGCGAAGGAGGCUUGGACAAUUUUGGAGAAUUCACAUCGAGGUUCCGCAAGUGUAAAAAGAGUCAAGUUGCAAGAGCUUAGAAGACAAUAUGAAUUAACUCAACCGAGUCUGUCAAAGAAUUUUUGACAAGAGUAACUAAUAUUGUCAACGAUAUGAGAACUAAGGGAGAAAAAUUAGAUCAAGUUAAAAUUGUUGAAAAAGUACUACGAUCAUUGAGUACGAAAUUUCAGACCAAAAACACGUUCUUGAGGCCAUCAAAGAUCUUAGAACUUUGACACUUGAUGAUUUAGAAGGGGAAUUGAUGACAUACGAUAUGUCCUUGAAUAAACUGACAAUAGAAAAAUUUGAUGAAGUAUUUCAGGCAAAUGUGGAUCAACCUAAUCCAAAAGAAGAAAUAUCAAACUUGGCUGAGACAAAUCAAAGGAGUCAAAAUUUCAGAGGUAGAGGGCAAGGGAACAGAGGAAAUUUUCGAGGCCGUGGUAGAGGUAAUUAUUCAUACCAACAGAAAAAUAAUAAUAAUUUUAGGAAGGAACAACAAAAUAUUCAAAAAAAUUUAGAAACAUGACAAAUCAACAAUUCAGUGUCAUAAUUGUGGAAAAUUUGGACACUACCAAAGAGAUUGUUGGUUUAAAAUUCAGGUAAUAGAGAUGUACAUGCAAAAUUGGCUGAAACUAUGGAGAUAAACAAGAGACUUUAUUAUUCUAUAGUUUAGAAACAGAAGAAAAAAAAAGGGAACAGAUAGUUUAUAGAUUUUGGGUGUAACAACCAUAUGUCUGGGGAUAAGGAAUUAUUUAUUGAUCUAGGUGAAUAAUUUAGAGCUAUCGUAAGACUUGGUAAUAACUCUAAAGUGCCUGUUGUUGGAAAAGGAAAAAUUUCAAUUACUUCAAAAAAUUAACUCUUCUUACUUUGUAUCUGAUGUUUAUUAUGUUCCAAGUCUUCAUCAUAAUUUGUUGAGUAUAGGACGACUGACAGAAAAAAGAUAUGACUUGCGAUUUAAAUAUGGAAUUGGGACCAUUAGCGAUGGUAAAUUAGUAUUAAUUACAACGGUAAAAAUGAAUCAAAGUCAUUUAUGGCCUCUUUAACUCAACUGUGGAGAUUUAACUUGCGUUAGUUCUGUGAAUUCUAAUGAUACUUGGUUGUGGCAUCUACCCUUUGGGCAUCUGAAUUUUGAAAGUUUGAAAUAUCUUGCAAGAAAUAAACUAGUUUACGGUUUGCCUUCUGUUGAUAUUCCUGAUACAAAGUGUGAUUCUUUCAUUUUGGGAAAGAAGUAUAGAGAACCUUUUCAAAAAGGCAAAGCUUGGAGGGCUAAUGCACCAUUGGCGCUAAUUCACUCAGACUUGUGUUCGGUUGAAGUUCCCUCCAAUGGAGUUAGUAAAUAAUGUAUUACUUUUAUUGACGAAUUUAGUCGAAAAAUAUGGGUAUAUUUUCUGAAAAAUUAGUCGGAUGAAUGUGAAGUCUUUAAAUUCUUUAAAGUUUACGUAGAAAGGUAAAGUAGACACUUUGUUAAGACAUUAAGAACUGAUAGGGGCACUGCGUUUCUUGUUUGUGAUGACUAUUUGAAGAAGUGUGGCAUUAAACAUCAAUUGACUGCUAGAUAUACUACUCAACAAAAUGGUGUAGCUGAAAGAAAAAAUAGAACAGUGAUGGAUAUGGUGAGAUCAAUGAUGCAUUCCAAAAAUAUUCCCAAAGAAUUCUGGGCAGAAGUUGUCUCAUGUGCGAUUUAUGUUCUAAACAGAUGUCCAACUCGAUCCAAUUUUGGAAACUCCACAAGAAGUUUGGACUAGUAAGAAACCAAAUAUCUCUCAUCUAAAAGUGUUUGGUUGUCUUGCUUGUACUCAUGUUCCUUAUGUUUUGAGAAAGAAAUUAGAUGAUAAGGCAGAAAAAUGUAUCUUUAUUGGCUACAGUCAUGAGACAAAAGGUUACAAGUUAUUUAAUCCAGAUAUAGGGAAAGUAAUUAUUAGUAAACAUGUAACUUUUGAUGAAUACAUUACUUGGGAAUGGUCAAAGAAAAAAUUUGAGUUGCCUAGGUCUUAACCAGUAGUUUCAACUAUGGAGGAAGGAAGUUCAAGAAGAUAUCAAGAGGAACAAGUAGCUCAUCCUGUUCAAACAGUAACAUUGAUUAGUCCACAAAGAAAUCGCCAACUACCAGCCCGUUUACAAGAUUAUGUUGUUGACAAUAAUAAAAAUUUGUCCAAUGAAGAUAUUGUGAACUUUGCACUAUUUGCCGAUUGUGAACCAAUUACUUUUGAGGAAGCUGCCAAAGAUGAUAAUAGGAUGAAUGCAAUGGAUGAAGAAAUUUAUGCAAUUGAGAAAAAUCACUCUUGGGAGUUGACAGAUUUACCGCCUUCAAAACAACAAAUUGGAGUCAAGUGGGAAUACAAAACCAAAUACAAACCAUCUGGAGAAGUAGAUCACUUUAAGGCAAGAUUAGUUGUUAAAGGAUACAAACAGAAGGUAGGUAUUGAUUAUUUUGAGGUAUUUGCUCCUGUUGAUACUAUUCAAAUGAUCAUUUCUCUUGCUGUGAAUAAAUGUUGGAAAAUACAUCAAUUGGAUGUUAAAUCUGCUUUCUUGAAUGGUGUUCUUGAGGUAGAAGUGUAUGUUGAGCAGCCUAUGGGAUAUGUCCAAAAAGGUUUAGAAAAUAAAGUUUACAAGUUGAAGAAGGCAUUGUAUGGGUUGAAACAAGGUCCAAGAGCUUGGUAUACUCGCAUUGAUUCUUACUUUAUGGGACAUGGUUUUCAUAGAUGUCUUUAUGAGCAUACACUAUACAUAAAAUCCAAUACUGAUGGAGACCUCAUUGUGUGCUUAUACGUGGAUGAUUUAAUACUUACUGGCAAUAAUCCUAAACUAAUUUCUGAGUUUACGGAGGCUAUGACUAGCGAAUUUGAGAUGACUGAUUUGGGAUUAAUGUCUUAUUUUCUUGGCAUUGAAGUUUCUCAAUUGAAAUAAGGAAUCUUUAUCUCUAAGAAAAAAUAUGCGAGUGACAUUUUGAAAAGAUUUAAUAUAGACAAAGCCAAACCAAUCUUGACUCCUAUUGAAGAGAAAUUGAAGUUGACCAAAGAUGGAACUGGUGAUUUUGUUGAUGCUACAUAUUUUAAAAAAUUGGUAGGGAGUCUAAGAUACUUGACUUCUACAAGGCCUGAUAUUACUUAUGGAGUUGGAUUAAUUAGCAGAUUUUUGGAGUUUUCACGUCAAUCUCACUUACAAGCCGCCAAGAGAAUUUUGAGAUAUAUUCAAGGUACACACUCUGAUGGCAUAUUUUAUUCAAAGACUAAUGAUAGUAAUCUUGUUGGAUUUGCUGAUAGUGAUUGGGCCGGUGAUAUGAUGCAAGAAAAAGUACUUCUGUCUAUGCAUUUUAUUUGGGAUCUAGUGUAUUUUCAUGCACUUCAAAGAAACAACAAGUUGUUGCUUUAUGAACUGCUGAAGCAGAGUAUAUUGCCGCAACAAAUAGUUCUACACAAGCAUUAUGGUUGAGAAGAAUAAUUGGAUUUCUUCAACACAAGCAAGAUAGUCCUACAAAAAUAUUUUGUGAUAGCCAGUCUGCAAUUGCAUUAACAAAGAAUCCAGUUUUUCAUGGCCGUAGCAAACACAUUGACAUCAAAUGGCACUUCAUUCGUGACUUGGUCCAAGAUAAAUAGAUAAUGAUUGAAUAUUGCAAGACCGAAGAACAAAUUGUUGAUAUAUUCACAAAGCCAUUAAAAUUGGAGUUGUUCAUAAACUUGAAGAAGAUGCUAGGCAUGGUCACAUUUGAAGAUCUUACUUUAAGGAAGGCUAAGUAGGAAAUAAAUCAAGAAUAGGAUUCCUAAGUAGUUUAGGAUUCCUUGGUAGUUUAGAAUUCCUUACUAGUAUAGGAUUUAUUAUUUAUGGUAUUUUCUUAUUUAUGUUUAAUUAGGAUUUGUUAGUUUUAUAGGUUCCUAGUCCUAGUUUACUUUGGUUGUUAGUAUUAUAAAUAGGGGUGCCUUCAAUGUACAAAAAUUACAAGAGUCAUUGAGUUAUUGAAUAAAUCCUCCUACCUACUAUUUGUAGAUUAAUAAGUUUCUUAUAUAUAACCAUUGUUGGGUCUUUCACUUGUGCAUAUAUUAUUACCUUGGGUAAUAUUAUUUCCUUCACAUUGCCUUUUAUUAUCCCUUUUAAUCAUUAGAAUUAUUCAAGUAAAUCCAUCACCAAGUCCCAUUAUUCCCCAACACAUACCACAAGGAAAUACACGAUUUUAUACACUUAACAAGGGUCAAGAAAUCCACUUGCCUCAAACAAUCGAGCAAUUACUCUGAGACUUGAGUCUUUCCCUUUUGUUGGACUUCCGAAUAAAUGCAACCUAUUCACAUAAAUAAUUACGAUAAGAUUUCUAAAUUAACUACACUCAUAUUACUAUAAUCCAGUUCCUAAUUCAUGAUGCCAACCAAUACAUUAAGUAUCAUCUUCCUAAAUUUUAAGCCUAGGAUUAAGUCUAAAUUACUCCAAAAAAAUCAAAAACUAAAUUAUCAUAGGUCAUUGAUGCAUAAUGAUACUCCACUAGAAGCUUGGCAUACUACCCAAAGUAAUGACAAAAUAACUUCUAAAUGAAAAUAUUAAUUAAUAUCUAUCGCAUCCUUAUCAAACCAUCAUCAUCUCAUGAUUACAUUAACCUAAAUUUUAAAAUUUGCCGUCCAAUUAUAACUAUCCAUCAGUUAAGAAAACUUAACUUCAUUAAUUGCAUCCAAAUACAAUAUAAUAAAUCCAUUAUCCUCCAACUCCAAGUGACCACGUUAUGUACCGAAGCAAAAAAUGGAAUUUUUUGAAACCUUUACCUGAAGACGAUGCCACUUCGUGUUGACGCCAUAUGUAAGUCUCGUGGAAUUUUUACUUUUUUUUCUUAAAUUAUGACCCAAAUUCUCAACCCUAAUAAUUUAUUUUCCUAUAUGGGUCAAGUGGUAUAUGAUAUUAAAUAAAUUAUAAACUUUACCCAUUAAGCAUUAACUAAAAUUUGUUAUUUAAUAAAUAACCGUCAAUUAAUUAACUUUAGUUGAACGAAUAGUUCAAAAUUGUCCAAAAUGACCUUUGGGAUCAUUACAUUAUCGACCACUCAAACCCAUGUUCGUCCUCGAACAUAAAGUAAGAGAAAGUACCUAAAGCUUCAAAAAACUGAGGAUAUCUGGCACACAUAUCGGACACUGCUUCCCAAGUCGUCUUACAAACGGAUCGGUGCUUCCACUGCACCUUCCUUGAAGUAAUCUCAUUGGUCCUAAUAUUUCGGACCUACCUAUCCAAAAUGGUGAUAUGCUCCUCCUCAAACUAUAAGUCUGGACCCAACUCAAUUGAAUCAAGAGAAAAAACAUGGGACUCAUUCGGUAUGUAGUUCUGAAGCAUGGAGAGAUGAAACACAAGAUGAACAACUGACAAACUAGGUGGCAAGGCCAACUUAUAGUUCAUCUCUCCAACUCGUCCCAAAAUCUCAAAUAGACCGGGGAAUCGAGGGCUAAGUUUGCCUUUAUUUCCGAACCACAUAACACCCUUCAUGUGUGACACUCUAAGCCAAACAUGAUCGCCUUCCAUAAACUCUAGUGCUUAGACCCUUUUAUCUACGUAACUCUUAUGUCAACUCUAGGUUGUCAACAAUCUAUCCUGAAUCAUACGGACCUUCUCCAUAGCAUCUCUAAGCAAGUCGGUAUCCAAAGAGUCCAUCUCCAUUGAAUCAAACCGAUCAGAGAUCUACACCAUCUGCCAUACAACGCCUCAAAUGGAGCCAUCUGAAUACUAGAGUGAUAAUUGUUGUCAUAGGAAAACUCUGUUAAGGGAAAAUGUCGAUCCCAUCUAGCACGAAGAUCUAUCACACAAGCUCAGAGCAUGUCCUCUAACACCUCACUCAGACUUUCCAUCUGUCUGAGGGUGAAACGUUGUACUCAUAUCUAACCGAGUACUCGAACAAUGUUGUAAUGCCUUCCAAAUAUGGGAAGUGAACAGUAAACAUUGAUUAGAGACAAUAAAAAUGGGGACUCCAUGUAAUCGCAUAAUCUGACUAAUAUAAAGUUCGGCUAACAUAUAUGUCGUAUACUGCACCUGAACCGAAAUAAAGUGGCUAAACUUGGUCAGCCUGUCAACAACAACCAAAAUGGAGUCAGAACCACUCGUUGUGGUAGGAAAACCUACAAUAAAAUCCAUAAUGAUCUGCUCCUACUUCCAAGUAAAAAUAAUCAUCCUCUGAGAUAUACGCUCGGGCCAAUAGUGCUCACACUUGACCUGUUUGAAAGCCAAACACCUAAAAACAAUGCAAUAUCCCUCUUCAUUCCACACCACCAGUAAUGCUGACUCAGAUCAUGAUACAUCUUUGCCACUUCUAGGUGGAUGGAAUAUCCAGAACAAUAGGUCUCCUCUAGACUCAAUCUAAUCAACUCACCCAUAUUGGGCACACAAAUCAUGCCUCUGUUCUUCAAGACACCAUCAGAAUCAAGGAUAACCUCUUUGGCUUCCCCUCUCAACAUUUUGCCUCGAAUGAGACAGAACUUCUCAUCAUCAAAUUGGUGCUCACAGAUCUACUUGACUAAGAAAGAUCGAGCCUCAAUAAAAGUAACCAUGCCACCACUCUACUCUAAAAUCCACAACUGGAAAAGACUAUUAGCUAAUCUUUGAAUGUCUCUAGCCAACGGUCUCUCUUCAGUACUAAUUGUGGCAAGAUUUCUCAUGCCAGGAGUCUUCUUACUCAAGCCAUCUACAUUGCCCCAAUAUAUUAAAGACUUUAGUGAUCGGUGAAGAUCUCACAAUGCACCCCAUACAAAUAGUGACGCUAUAACUUAAGCACAAAGACCACGGUUGCUAACACCAAAUCAUGAGUAGGGUAGUUCUUUUCAUGAGCCUUCAACUGCCUAGAAGCAUAAGAAAUCACCUUCCAUUUCUGCAUCAAAGCACCACCCAAACCGACUCCUAAAGCAUCACAAUAGACAGUAAAGUCCACACCCUCCUCAGCUAGAUUCAACACACGGGCCGAAGUCGACAAAGUCUUGAGCUUUUGAAAGUUCUCCUCAUACUCAUGGAACCACUGAAAACCCAUAUCUUUUCAAGUCAAUGUGGUCAACGGAGCUACAAUAGUAGAGAAACUCUGAACAAACCAUCGGUAAUAGCCUAUUAAUCCCAAAAAACUCCAAAUCUUGGUAGGAGAAGUAAGUCGCAUCCAGCCUUUAACUGCCUCAAUCUUGGUCUGAUCUACUUUAAUACCCUCCUUGGACACCAUGAGUCCCAAGAAUGCUAAAGAAUUAAGCCAGAAUUCGCACUUUGAGAACUUGGCAUACAACUUCUCUUCCCUCAACCUCUGAAGUACAAUCCUUGAAGUGUCGAACAUGGUCCUCCUUAGUCCUGGAGUACACCAAAAUAUCACUAAUGAAGAAAAUCACUAAAGAAUCUAGGUAUAGUCGAAACACCCCGUUCAUCAAUUCCAUGAAAGUUGCAAGGUUGUUAGUCAAGCAAAGGAAAUCACUAGGAACUCAUAAUGCCCAUACCGAGUCCGAAAUGUUGUCUUAAGGAUAUCUGAUAACCUAAUAUUCAAGUGAUGGUACCCGAACCUCAAAUCAAUUUUAGAGAAUGAUGAUGCUCCCUAAAGCUUAUCAAAUAAGUCAUCAAUACGCGGAAGAGUAUACUUGUUCUUCAUUAUUAUUUUGUUCAACUACAUGUAGUCAUACAUAUUCUCAUAAUUCCAUCCUUCUUCUUCACAAACAAUAUUGGGGCACCCCAAGGUUAAACACUAGGGAGAAUGAACUCCUUACUCAACAAAUCUUGUAGCUGUCCUUCAACUUUGCGGGAGCCAUAUGCUAGAGAGGAAUCAAAAUAGGCUUAGUGCCCGGCUCUAAAUCAAUAGAAAGUCAUUAUCUCUAUCAGGAGGAACACCUAAAAGAUCAGUUGGGAACACAUCUGGAAACUUUUGGACCACGGGAAUAUAAUCUAUGGGAGGUGGCUCAACACUAGUGUCAGAGAUGAAGGCUAAAUAGGAAAAACACCCUCUCUUCACCCAUCUCUGAGCAUAGAUGAAAGAGAUAACUUUGCUUAGGGGUAAGAACCACUAGCACCCUUCCACUCAACCAUCAGAAUACUGGGCAUUACUAAGGUCACAGUCUUAACAUUACAAUUAAGAAUAACAUGAUAAGGAAAAACGCAAUCCAUACCCAAGAUAACAUCAAAGUCUACCAUCACUAGAAUGACCAAGUCUACAAAAGUGUCAUACUCCAUUAAAAAAACAAGACAAGGUUGAUACACUCGAUCCACCACUAAGGGCUCACGCAUGGAUGUAAAAACACGAAUAUGUACAGGCAUGUUAUCACACAUCAUAUCAAACCCAACAGUAAAAUAAGAUGACACAUAAGAGAAAGUAGACUCUGGAUCAAACAACACAAAUGUAGUCGAUAAAAGACUGGGACAUUACCUACAAUAACUGCAUCAGACGCUUUAUCCUUAGGUCUUCCCCAGAAAUCAUAACACUAGCCCUCUCUGCCACCUCCAACCUAUGUGGUACCUCUACUGAGUUGCAGCACCAAAAACAAAAGAUCUACCUCAUCUACUGACUGAACUCUACCUCAGCCUUUUCUCCAUGGUACCGAUGGUCUAGUAUGAAAUGAAGAAUUAGCUCGGGGUCCUCCCUGACCUCUCUGGAAAGGACACUGUCGCAUCAUGUGAUCGAGAUCUCCACACAUUUCCAUGGAUUCUUAGUUUUUGGGUUGAAAAAGCUCGUCGAUCCAAAUGAAUCAUUCUUCCGGUCUCUCUUCACUCCCCACCCCGAAACUGACCCAUGGCACAUAUUACGACGAGAAGCGGCUCUUUCACGCUUAUGAGCAUUCUGGUGUCCUCCAAGAGCUUGAGAAGUGCAAAACUUGCGAGAACAGUAGAGGCAAGAGAACAUUCUAGAAGAUGGAACCUUUGCUUUUGGUUUAGGGAUCAUGGGUGGGUGCUGAUGAUCCACCAUAUAUGUGGGGGAGGCGGUGGAGGAAUUAGAGGACUGGUUCCAGAAAUUGACUUGCGCCUUUGCAUGCUCGAUCGCUCCCCCAUCCCGCCUGGCUCAUUCUAGCGGGGAAUAACCUCAAUCCGUAGAAGCUGCAUCCUCAAGGGCUGAGUGAUUAUGCCAGUGAUCAAGAUAUCAACCACAUAAAUAGGUAGUAAAAUGAAGCAAAACCUCUAAUUUGGGAAAUGUUGGGUGGAUACUGAAAACGCACUAUAAUUACCUCGUCAUGUACGUCACUGUUGUGAAUCGUAUAAGCCCUGACCCACGCUAUAAGACUCACGAGGUAUCUGACCACCCUUGUAUAUUGGCAUAUAUGUAUGAAAGGGUCCUCGAUACUAAAAGGAACCACUCCCUUUGUGUGAUCCCCUGCCUCUAGAUUAGGCACCAGAAAACUGACCUGAUGUACAAACCCUCUUAGGGUCCCCCAAACUCCUCUCUCUCCAUCAAUUCUGCCACCUUGGUUGCUCCCACAAUGGACUAGAAGGAAUCCUCCCUCACGAGAUUCCUUGAAUAGAACUGAUCGGAUAGAGAAAGUCAAUCCCCUCACAAAUCUACGGAUCAUCUCCGUCUUGUCUGGAAUAAUGGCCAAAGCAUGCCUAGACAAUUAGAAAAAAUGGGCCUCAUACUUUACAACAGAUAAGUUAUUCUGUUUCAAAUUCUUAAACCUCAAGUGACUUUCCCCUCUCACGCUCCAAGGGACGAAGUAGUCACAAAAGGCACUGGAAAAUGUCUCCCACCUCACUAGAGGAGAUCCAACUAGCAAAGACCUUAAAUAAACUCUCUACCACUCUCUCGGUGGCCACGAAGUUGGAGGGUAGCAUACCGAACCCCAUGUGACUCAGCUAAUCCAACCACCUCUAAGAACUCUCGGCAUGUAGUCAGAAACUCAUGAACGUCCUCCAUAUUCCCACCUUGUAACUGAGGUGGGUCCAUCUUCCGGAAUUCCUCAUACCUACGCUACUCAUCCUCUGUCACAACAACCAACGGUGCACCUUGACCCUCAACUGCUAGUGCAAGAUCAUUUCUAACCACAAGAUCCACUGGUGGCUACCCUACGGAAUCCUGAAUAACUAGAGCCUAUUGUCGCUCUGGGGUUUAAGCCCCCACUCUAGUCUGAGAGUCCUAUGGUAAGCUGGUCGUACCACCGCCCAGAGUAAAGCUCUCAAGCACACUUAACACCCUCAAUAAUGUAUCCUGAAGCAAAUGUGUGGUUGCAAGCUCUGGAAGAACCUGGUCCUACUAGUCAUCAAUAUGAGGCUCUAGAGAGACCUCUAUAGCACCGCCCUUCGUUGGUGCUGCUCUAUGGGCACGACCUCUAGCUAGUGUCGUUCUAUGGGAACAACCACUAGCUCGGGCUCUACCCCUACCCCUAGUUGGGGUAUCAACAACUAUUUCGGGGACUGCAUCCCUUGUACCACUAGUAAUAGUAGUUGCAUUCCUCGCUAUCUGUCAAAAGAACAUGCGAUAACACAAUACUGGACAUAAGUACAAAUGUCUUUGUACCCAUCCUCAAGACUCAACUUAGACUCGGUUUGUAUACAUGUGAGACCUAUGAACUUGGGGUUCUGGUACCAUUUUGUCACGACCCAAAAAUAGACAUGAUGACACUCGUCUAAGGGUGGCAACGGGACCGGUAACGAGACUACCGGACCGGGACGUUCCGGAACCGGAACGGAACCGGGCACCACGGGCCGGAACCGGGACGGACCGGAACCGGUAAUUCCGGAAAAAAUUCCGUGUUCCCGUCUCGGACCGGUAACGGACCGGACCGGACCGGACCGGAAACCGGGUCCAACCGUUAAAAUUAUAAUUUUUUUAUUAAAAUUAAAAAAUUAGGAACAUUUCACUUAAAAAUUUAUACUUUUAAAGUUUUAAAUACAAACUUUCAAACUUUUAAAAGUAUAAAAGUUUAAAUUUCACAAUUUAAAAGUUUGAAAAUUUAAAUUUAAAUUAUAAACUUUAAAACUAUAAAACUAUAAAAAUUUAAAUUUCACACUUUAAAUUUUAAAAGUUUGAAAAUUUAAAUUCAAACUUUAAAACUAUAAAAGUUUAAAUUUCACCCUUUAAAAGUUUGAAAAUUUAAAUUCAAAGUUCAAAACUUCAAACUUUAAAACUAUAAAAAGUUUAAAUUCACACUUUAAAAGUUUUAAAAUUUAAAUUUAAAUUAUAAACUUUACAACUAUAAAACUAUAAAAAUUUAAAUUUCACACUUUAAAUUUUAAAAGUUUGAAAAUUUAAAUUCAAACUUUAAAACUAUAAAAAUUUAAAUUUCACACUUUAAAUUUUAAAAGUUUGAAAAUUUAAAUUCAAACUUUAAAACUAUAAAAAUUUAAAUUUCACACUUUAAAUUUUAAAAGUUUGAAAAUUUAAAUUCAAACUUUAAAACUAUAAAAAUUUAAAUUUCACACUUUAAAUUUUAAAAGUUUGAAAAUUUAAAUUCAAACUUUAAAACUAUAAAAAUUUAAAUUUCACACUUUAAAUUUUAAAAGUUUGAAAAUUUAAAUUCAAACUUUAAAACUAUAAAAAUUUAAAUUUCACACUUUAAAUUUUAAAAGUUUGAAAAUUUAAAUUCAAACUUUAAAACUAUAAAAAUUUAAAUUUCACACUUUAAAUUUUAAAAGUUUGAAAAUUUAAAUUCAAACUUUAAAACUAUAAAAAUUUAAAUUUCACACUUUAAANNNNNNNNNNNNNNNNNNNNNNNNNNNNNNNNNNNNNNNNNNNNNNNNNNNNNNNNNNNNNNNNNNNNNNNNNNNNNNNNNNNNNNNNNNNNNNNNNNNNNNNNNNNNNNNNNNNNNNNNNNNNNNNNNNNNNNNNNNNNNNNNNNNNNNNNNNNNNNNNNNNNNNNNNNNNNNNNNNNNNNNNNNNNNNNNNNNNNNNNNNNNNNNNNNNNNNNNNNNNNNNNNNNNNNNNNNNNNNNNNNNUUCACUAUCAAUACCCAAAUUAAAAUAUAUUUUUUCACCCAUUCGUGAUACACCUUCAUCUUUGUAAUGUGGGUUUAACAAACAAGCAGUUAAAUAAAUUUGAGGAAUAGGAAUAAAAUAUUUUUUAAAUUUUUCAAUCAUUUUCUUAACAGAUGCUUCAAAUCUUGGUUUAUUUUUGAAUUUAUAAAAUUUAUUAGAAAUAGCACAAAUAUUAGGUAAAACAGAGCAAAUAGUUGGAUAAUAAAGUGCAGAUAUUUUUUUUGUAGUUAAAUAAAAAACUUUUAAGAAUUCUAUAAGUUCUUUUAUGUUAUUCCAAUCACUAUCAUCAAGUCUAUAUGCCAUAUUUGAAUUAUGAGCAUUCCAAACCAUUUGUAAAGGUUUCCUAUAUUCAUAAGCAACUUCAAGCAUUUCAAAUAAAGAAUUCCAUCUAGUACACACUGAUUUUGGAAUUUUUCUAGGUGGAAGAUUAAAUUCACGACAACGAUUUUCAAAAUCUCUACGUCUAGACUUAACUUGACAUUUAAAAAUAAAAUGACAUGCAGUUUCAACUUUUGUGCAACCAUCAUCAUAUAUUGCUAUACCAUCUCUAACAAUCAAAUUAUAUAUGUGUGCAGCACACCUAAUAUGAAAACCAUCAAUAUAAAUAGGGCAAAGAGACGGUUUUAGUAAUUCAAUAGCAUUACUAUUAUUAGAAGCAUUAUCUAAUGUGACACUACUUAUUUUAUCACAAAUUCCAUAGUUUUGCAAAAUAUCUAUAAUUGUUUGAGCUAUAUAACUACCGGUUUUUUGCAUUUCACAACAUUUAUACCCUAAAAUUCUUUUUUGCAAAGUCCAAUUUUCAUCAAUCCAAUGCGCAGUAAUUGUGAAAUAAUCAUUACCAUUUACACUACGGCCCAUAUCAGUAGUAAUAGCUAUUUUACAAUUGUUAUAAUAAAAUAAACAACGAAGAUAUUGAAAAUGUUGAGCUUGAUAAUCAAAAAUAGCCUUUUUAAUUGUAUUUCUAGUAAAACCUUUAAAAUGUGGAUUAUACACAAUUUGAAUAUAAUGAAUAAAACCGGGAUUUUCAGCAAAACUAAAUGGCAAACCCAUAACAACAAUCAUUUUAGCUAAUUCUUCAAGAUCUUUUUCUCUACUAUAUGACCGUUGUAUACUAGAACCAGAAACAUUAGAAGGAUUUAAUUGUGUUUGGACCAUAUUAGAGCCAUCUACUCCUACAUUUUCAGGAAGUGUGGUACCAUUUUUUUUAGCUUCGGCUACAGCUUUAGCAUGCAAAAAUUCAUUUUUACAACAUGACAUUAAAUGAUUACUCAAAUGUCCCGUCCCACCCUGUUUUCCUACAGUUUUAUGAUUCAUUCUAUGUUUACAUUUAUUACAAAUAGCUUGUGUUUUAUCUUCAUUCUGAGUCAUAAAUUGCCACACAACUGAUUUUUUAGCGCGUUCUACCUUAGUCCUAGGAUGCACGGGGGGAUUGGGAGCAGGACAACGAAAGGGAGCAGGAGUCGGGGAAGAGGGAUUGGGAGUGGGACUAGUAGCCGACGGUGGCUCAGUUUCAUCAUCAUCAUAUUCAUCAACAUUAUUAUCAAAACUAUCAACAUAAGCAUUAACAUCAUCAUAUUCAUCAUCUUCAGGUAAUUCCUCUUCAAAAUUACCAAAUCUUCUUUGUAAAUGUUCAUGAUAAGGAUCUAAUCCACUAUUACUAUCAAUAUUAAAAACAGUUUCAUCAACAUGCGUAUAAUCAUCCGUAUUUAUUCUUAAUUGAGAAGUUUUUUUAGUUUUAGAUUGAGAAGUACUACCGGUUUUUUUAUUUUUCUUGGAUUUUGAGCUCCAUAAAUUAGUGAUCGAAUCAACUAUGGUUGUUUUACCUUUGUCAACAUUGUUUUUACCGGAAUCCAUAUUCAAAUAUAAAAAGUGAGUAAAUUAUAUAUAAUACGAAAAUGAUUAGCAAAGUUUUAAACAAAUAAACAACUAAAUAAGUAGAGACUAGAGAUUAAUUACUCACAAAAUAAAUAAUUAAAUGUAAACAAAUAAAUAACUAAAUGAAAAGUGAGUUGGAACGAAUGUACCAAACGUCUACUUAAAAAAGUAGACGUGUAUGACCGGAAGGCAAAAAUUGAAAGUUGAAUUUUGAAGCUCCAAUUUCCAAAGACCAAAUUCGUAAUUUUAACGAGAAGUCGAGAAUAAGAGAAUUUAGAGAGUAGAGAGUAGAAAGAUUAGAAGAUAUUUUUGUGAGUGAAAAGAAUGAAAGAUUAGGGGUAUUUAUAGUUAAAAAAAAGAAUGAAAAUGUAGUUUUAAGAAGUUUGGGGUAUUAAAAAAAGUUUGGGGGGUAGGGAGGUGUAAAUGGGGGGUUAUGGGGUGAAAGAGCCGUUGGUGGGGCCCAAAACCCGUUGCCCAACGGCUCUCAACGGCUAUAAUUUCAAAUUUUCAGAUUUUAAAAAAAAAAAAAAAAAAAAAAAACCGGACCGGACCUGGACCGGAAUCGGGACUAACCGGACCGGGACGGACCGGUAAAUCCCGGUUUCCGUCCCGUUACCCCUCCCGGAUCGGAACAAUUCCGGAUUUAACCAAGACGGAACCGGUAACGGACCGGAACGGACCGGAACGGACCGGAACCGGUACCGGUACCUCCCGGUUCCGUUGCCAGUCAUACACUCGUCUCAUCCCACCAAGACAAGUCAGCAUUAAGCUAAUCAUUACGAUAAAGUGUGAAAAUAAAAUAAACUUAGAAGUUUAAUAGCAAAUACUAAUGCAGAUAACAAGUCAACUUAACUAAACCCCCAAAACUUGUUGUCACGUGCACAAGCAUCUAAUGUAUAACAAUAGAUGUGAAAUAAAACCACAAGUCUCAAUUGAUAUUGUCUUUAAAGCAGAACAAAAUCAUAAAUAGGAGUAAGAAGGUCUGCUGGGAUGACAAACAAAUACUUGACAAAUCUCCACAGCAAGCCUUGGACAGGAAGAGGGUACAGAGUAUCAUAAAGAUCUGGACUCGACCUACACAAAUGUAGAAGCAGGGGAUGAGUACCAAAUCACACGGUACUCAGCAAGAAAACGGCAAAACACCAAGCUAACAAUAUAGAAAUAGGUACCCCUUACACUCCAACCGAACCUUCACAGCUACAACAUGUAUAAAACCAGCUCAACCUAACAGUGCACAAUUUAAAUAGUUCAUAGCUCAAUGACAACAUUCUGUCAAUUUUUGCUCAACAAUACACUAGAUAAAGUCAUCAAUCACAAAUUCCAUAAAAAAGCACUCAUAAGUUCACCGUGAUAAAAGUAUGCAAUACAAUGAAAUGAAAUGUCAAGUAUGAUGAUGCAUGUCAGACCUAGUGAUAACACACCCGCUAACUCUCAGUCCGGGACCCAUGUGGGACAUAUAUGUCCAUACAUCCAUUGUAGCGCGUGACACGUCCCUUGAUAAUAGAAUUUGUUGCGGCAUGUGACACAUUCCUUGAUAAUAUAAUUGGUCAUGGUGUACGACACGUUCCUCGAAUCAUAAUAUUCAUGGUGGUGUGCAACACGUCCAUCGAAAUGGUACUUCCUCUUUAAUUUCUUAUUCUUCCUCAAUUCACAUAACACUUGUCAUAACCAUGUCUAAGAAUCAAUGCAAAUGACAUAUUCACACAAUUAAUGAGGAGACUAUUUCCAUAACAAUGCACAAUUCACAACAACACAAUCAUGAUACAACAUCAACAAUUAAUCAAUAAGCCAUUCGAACUAUUCUCAAUACAUCACACAUUAAUAAUUAAUCACAUUGCCUUUUAUUACCCCUUUUCAUCAUUAGAAUUAUUCAAUAUGGACAAGUCAACCCAUCACCGAGUCUCAUUACUCCCCACCACACCACAAGGAAAUACACGAUUCUAUACACUUAACAAGGAUCUAGAAAUCCACUUGCCUCAAAUAAUCGAGCAAUUACUCCGGGACUUGAGUCUUUCCCUUUCGUUGGGCUUCCAAAUCAAUGCAAUCUAUUCACUAAAUAAUCACGAAAAUAUUUCUAAAUUAACAACACCCAUAUUACUAAUUCUAGUUCCUAAUUUUGAAUGACAACCAAUACGUUAAGUAUCAUUUUCCUAAAUUUUAAGCCUAGGGUUAAGUCUAAAUUCCUCAAAUAUCGUAAUUUUGAUAAUAUUCAUAUAAUACAACACGCCUAACCUUCAAUUACAUUCACCCAAUAUUUUAGAAAAUAAAUCAAAAUCUAAAUUAUCAUAGGUCACAGAUGCAUAAUGAUACUCCAUGGGAAGCUUGGCAUAUUGUCCAAAGGAACGACAAAAUAGCUUCUAAGUGAAAGGAUUAGUUAAUAUCUAUCACAACCUUAUCAAACCUCAUCAUCUCAUCAUUACAUAAACCCCAAAAUUUACAAUUUUCCCUCCAAUUAUAAUUACUCAUCAGUUAAGAAAACUUAGUUAAAUAAUUGCAUCUACACACAAUAUAAUUAAUAAAUGCAUUAUCUUCCAACUCCAACUUACCACAUUAUGUACCCAAGAAAGAAAAUUUUGAAACCUUUUUAUGAAGAUUAUGCCCCUUCGUGUUGACGUUGUACGUAUGCCUCGUGGAAUUCUAAUUUUUUCUUUAAAUUAUGACCCAAAAUUCUAACUCUAAUAAUUUAUUUCCCUAUAUGGGUCAAGUGGUAUAUAGUAUUAAAUGAAUUAUCUUUGACCCAAUAAGCAUUAACUAAAAUUAGUUAUUUAAUAAAUAGCUGUCAAUUAAUUAACUAUAUUUAAAUGAAUAGUUCAAAAUUCUCCAAAAUGAUCUUUCGGUUCAUUACACAAAUAAUGCAAAUACCUCAAUAAUGUUGAAACUAUACAAAUAAUAACUAGGACGUAUACUUGCUGAUAUUUAACAAAUAUACAUAGAAGGUAACUAUAUACAAUUUAGAGCUUAUACAAAUAUAAUUUUUUUCAUCACUUACACAAACCAAAUGCCUCAACUAAUUGUAUAAAUACAAAAAUUAAUUGAUAAACACACAUGAAUCUAUUAUAUCGGUACAACUAUAAUUCUGAAAUUUUUUUGGCUAUAAAUCUUGAAAUAUGUAAUGUUAUACAAAAUAACAAGAAGAACUAAAAUAUAAUAUACAAAUUAAUUUAUACAUUUUACCUAAAUUCCUUCCACAUCUUGUUGGUUCAUUAAAUCAGAUUGGAUCACGUCUUCUUCGGAUGAUAUCGAUUUAUUGCUUGUAGAUGCAAUUUCUUUCACAUUGCACUUGUAAUUUGAAAUCAGAACGUCAUCUAAAUUGUCUUCUUUCUUUUCAUAUCCUUUUUUGUUCUUAUUUUUAAAUUAAAAACAUGCAUAAGUUGUUGAAAUCUGGGAGCAAAAUUUGAGAGGGAAAGAAGAAACUUUUGCCCUGAAAAUUUGGGAGCAUGAUUUGAGAGGGAAGAAGAAAUUUUCUAAAUUUUGAAAUCUGAUUGUGCUUGAAUGAAUUAAGGAUAAAACUAAGUAAAAAUAUUAUGCAGAGAGAGGAAGUCUACUUUAUAUAAAUGGGGAAAAUUGAAUCAUACAAAAUCGAGCGUGGCCAAGUAAAUAAAUGUAAUCAUUUAAAAUUUAUUAAAUAUAAAUUUAAAAAAUGAUUCAGAUCAUAUUAAAUCAUGAAUAUAUUAGUCCAAAUAGAUAUUAUCUAUUAAUAUUGUAACAAUCCGGAAAAUUCGUAGGUUGAACUAGAGCCUAAACGUAAGGUCAAAAGCUAUAAUGUUACCUCACAAUAUCCUUACUUGCUCUAUUGUAUAUUUUAUAUGUACUUACUUGGAAUAUGUAUCCUUCCUUAAGUUGAAUCUGUCCACAUUCUCCCUUGGUUCCCCGUUCAUGUAUGAUAUUAGUUAGUGAGUAUUUGGCUAUCAUAUAGAGUUCAAAUCUCCUGGCUGAAUGUUAAAUGUCUUCACUUGAUAUGUGCUUCAACUUGAGAUGUCAAAAUGCUAACUGUGUCAUAUAAGCUCCUAAGUAUUACGUUGGUGUCACAUUUCCUUCCCACGUCAUUGUCAUUAUCAUAAGUCCAUAUUCAUAUGUCUUCUACUACUAGUCCAUAGUUCCAAAUCUCAACAAUGAUUAUGACCACCAAAACAACAAUCUCAAAAUAGUUAUGACCAUCAAAAGAACAAUCUCCAAGAGAGUUACGAACAUCAAAACAACAAUCUCAAAGAUUAAAGAAUCUAAGUGAAGCAAUCUAUAUAAUUAUGGGUGGCAGCCCAGGGGGCAAAUGCCUAGCAUGGGUCGAUCCCUAUUGGUAUAGAAGAGUGGCAGCUCAGGGGCAAAAGCCUAGCAUGGGCCGAUCCCAAUCGGUAUAGAAGGGUGGCAGCUAAGGGGUGAAAGCCUAGCAUGGGCCGAUCCCACUUUGUGGAAUUAUGAGGACAACAUCCCAGGGGUUAAAAUGCCUCGCAUGGGUCAUCCUCUUAUACCAUUGAUCAGCUGGACAUUUGUAUCAUAUGCCUUAAAAAGAUUAUAACGUACUACAGCAAAGAAAAGAAAAGAAUGUAACAUACACGAUUCCACAAGUAUAAGCAAAGGUGGUCUCUAAUCCUUAUCUAUUGGUAGUUGAUUUCACUUGAGCUCUGAUUUUACAAAUGGUUGUAUUAUGACUUACAUAUUCAGUACAUUCUUUCGUACUGACGUCCCUUAUUGGGGACGCUACAUUUCAUGCUGCAGGUACAAGUACUCAACUAAUAGAUCUCCCCAAUAGAAACACAUGAUACUCAUCGAUUGAUGAUGAGCUGCAGGUUGAUUCGGGGAUUUGCCGAGUCUUUACUAUGCAUAUUUUCCUAGUGGUACAGUCAAGGAUUCCAGUAGAUGCUUUGUAGUCAUUGUAAAGCUAUCAUUGUAUUCAUAGUUUCACUUGUCACAUGUAUCGGUUCAGCUAGUCAACAUGUAUUGUAUACAAAACUUCUCAUUGGUAAAUCCAUUUCCAUAGUAGUUUACUUUCUCAUCAUAGGUCACUUGUAAAACAUGUGUUCAUAUGGUACUUGUCCGCCUCACCUAGGGUUGGGGUGUGACAAAAGUGGUAUCAGAGCAGUUCAUCCUAGGGAGUCUACAAAGCCAUGUCUAGUAGAGCCUUACUUAUGAAUGUGUUGCGCGCCACAUUUAUAAUUAGGGGGCUUCUUGGACAUUUAGGAAAUGUUACCUUCCUUCAUAAUCCAGAUCGUGCGAUAGAGCGAAGUUAAGAAUUCAAUUUCCACUUUAACCUGAUCAUGUUAUUCAUAUUAUGCUUACUGUGCUUAAAGGUUAAUGCUAGCUAAAAUGUCAAUAGACUAGACUGAGCUCAUUUUAUUCAACCAUCACACUCCACAAGGUCUGUAAAAUCUUUUAUGUUAUCUGCAUCUAAAGUUCCAUUUGUACCAUUUGUAUCACUUGGUUCAAUUUUGAAAAAUAUAGUAUAUGCUUAAAAAAUGAUGGGUUACCAAGUUACACAUAUGUGCUGUAGCAUUUCCAAGCACAUCUUCUUAAGAGGAUGUAACCAACUCUUGAGUUCUACAUUUCCUCCAUAUUUAUAGGAUUUUUUCCUAUCUAUGACACACAUUCUUAGUCUGCGAUAUACAUAGAAUUUCCAGUGUUACGCAUGUACUCGAAAAUGAUGUUGUUGGACCAGUUUCUUUUAGUUGGAAGAAAGCAGUGGUACAAUUCGAAAGGUAAAAUGUAUCAGUGCAAUAGUGUUACUAGAGAGGUACCCAAUUGACUGGCAAGGUCCACAUUCUCACCAUAUAUCAUCCCAAAUAUGUUAAUAGUUGGCCUUUUAUAUGGUAUGUACCAACCACCCCGAAUAAGUACUAAUAACAUUGUAUUCUUUUCAUGGGUAUAAAACUUAGGAAUAAUUGUGCUAAUUGCUACAAAUGAUAUAUGUAUGAUAGUUCCUACUAUAAUCUAUGUUUUGGCUAUAGAGGAUUAGUAUAUGACUAAAGGGUAAGGUUAAUAAAAGGAAAAUUGAUUAGUUAGACCUAAGGUAUGAUUAGUUAGGUUGUACAUAGUGGGAUUGGAGUACAUGAAACUACUAAUUUUGAUUAAAAGUACUUGUUAGAUAGGAAGCAUGUGAGAAUGAAGCUUGAAUGACACGGACCGAAUAUGUACGUAGAUCUUCUAGUUAGAAAGAGAUGGGACAUGUCAAAUCCCAUAAGCAUAGGAGUGGGGUGAUAUGAGGAUGCUAUAGAGGAGUGAAAUAGGUGGCUAUGAAAGAGUGAUUGUUAAGUGUCAGAGGCAAGAAUAAGGUAUCCACUCGUCAACCCUAAUGAGCUAUAAAGGCGCACCCGAAGGAUAUCUCGUAGUUUCCAAAGAUGGUUUGUUAUAUAUUUAUACAAAUUGCUAAGUGUAAAGUGGCAAGAAUAAGGUAUCAUAAAAGUCAUUUUAGUAUUGAUUCAAGUCUUGAUAUUUGGUCUUGAUAACAACAAGAAAAAAAAGGGGAAUACAAAGGUUACCUAGAUAAAUGAUACAUGGACCUAGUUCAUCUACAUAAUUAGUACAAAAGAGAAGUAGAGCAUUACACACAUGUAUAAACUUCCAUCAAAUUGAAUAGAGCUACUACAUGAUUCAUUUAAUAUAUGCUUGCAGUAAUUCAUCAAUCAUAGUCCAGUUAGGGGAGAGGAAAAACUGAUCAUAUGAUGGUUGUUCUUAUAUGCUAGCUUUCUUGGGAAAAGUGUCGAAUCACCCUCUCAUGUUAUAAAAAAAAUCUACUAGUAUGGCAAGACUUAUCUUGUUAAGCCAAAAGAAGCUAACUCUGAGACGUUAUGAAUAAUGAUAUAAAUUUAUAGGUACCUGACAUUUACUUGUUAUUAGACUUCAUGUUUUAUGGUGUGUUCAAGCUUCACUAUUUAUUUUCUAUUUCGACCUUCAAAAGGAACCAGACAUUGAGUGUGAUAUAACACAAGCUAGUAAUGAAGGCAAAGUUAACCUCUGCCUCCUACUCCAAAAUAUGAACUAUGGAAGAUUUUCUUUUUCUAUCUUAACUGUAUUAUUUAUAUUGACCUAGAUGGAAGCCUAGUCCCAAUAUCAGAACACCUAUAAGAAUUAUUAGGGUAUUGAAGAGAGUAGAUGGGGAAAUCAAUUGUAUGUGCUUUGAGCUGAGUAAGGAAUAUGAGCAGAACUAUCCCACCCGUGACUUAAUGCUUAAGACAAUGUGUUUGUCGUUAAUAUGGUAGAGUGGUUCUAUAGGAUAUCUCGUAGUUUCCAAAGAUGGUUUGUUAUAUAUUUAUACAAGCUGCAUGUUCUAUAACUUAUCUAUUUGUAUGUCAUUUACACUUUAUGGAAUACUUUCUCACGUGAUACCUAAUGUCAUAGAUUGCUUGCAUGUAAGUGUUAUCCGCUUCAGAGAACCCUUGUUUAUUGCUAUAUAUUUUCGUAGGACAUUUUCCUUACAUCUUAUUUAUUGCACUGGUUACAUUCCACAUGUCUCUUAUCCAUAUUGUGUGGGUAUUGCAUGCUAAUUAAGCAUAUGCUAUGCGAAAAAAUAAUUCUUGUGGGUUAUACGACUCGCAUAUCACUUGUUUACAUGUCAUAUGCAUCAUAAACCAUUUCUAUAUAUAUUUACAUACCUCGUAGCCUAUUUUCUUUAACAGUACAUGCAUUAUAGCUUUUCUAGCCACGUGUCAUGUGCUGACUUGCUCAUAUUACAUAUGUGUACUUAUUGACAUGUUAGUCCACCUAUCCAUGCGAUAUAAUGCACUUGCUUAAUCUGAUUUGUGUUCCGUGUAUAGUCUACUUACUUACGUAUUAUAUAUUUCGUUUCUUUAGUACUCAUGCAUCAUGUGCUCAUCUAGUCCACUUCCUAUAUUCCUUAUAGUUCAUUCGCCCACAUGCUACCAUAUGAACCAUAAGCACGUGUACACCACAUAUAUAUAUAGCUUAAUGACAGUAUAUCAUGCGCUCCCUUUUGUUCUAGUAUGCCUGUGUGUCAUACCCAAUGUGACUUAUUUAUCUGUAUAUUAUACCCCUCUAUGCUUAUCGACUUGAGUUUUGAACAUCUUACGAAAAUAUUUCCUUGUAUCAUUAGGUAGUGAAGAUUUUGACCAGAAAAGGUAGAGCAUAUAUGUAAGUUUUAUCACAACCAUAGAUAAUAACUUAGCAUAAUGCCUUAUCCGAAUGUGCGGCAUAAAACUUUAGAGUUUAUAUUAACAGCUAUGAGUUCUUAUAAGAGUCAUCUCUGAAAAGCAUCAUAUGGUAAAAAGAGAAGGAAAAGUAGAUCCCUAAUAGGUUAGGCCUAUGAUUUUAUGUGUCCAUUCCAUAUUAAAAAAUUGGGAGAUACUAUAGUUAUUCUUUAUUGUUAGGCCCGAAAACUAAGCACAAAAGGUGUACCCUUCAUUGAAGUAUAGUGGAAGGACUAGUAUAUAACAUAAGAUACUUGGAAAUAGAUGAUGGUCGAGAUCCUAAAUACCCCUCCUCAUUCUAAACAUCAGCAUAAAGAUCUGAGAUCAUGUGGUCCCCUUAUAUGAUCAUAAGUCCUACUAGCAUUUGUUCAUUAGAUAUGUCAUUUGCAUGUCUUGUGUUUAGGUGUAUUAAAUUCCUUAGUAGUAUGAGUUCUACUUGUGUGUCUUCAGUGGAUUACAUGGUCAAGAAAGAGGUUUAAUUUGUAAUAUUCUUAUUAAUGAACCAGAUCUAUUGAGACGUCCCGCAAGACUUGUCUAUACGUGUUAUAGGUUAGUCUAUAGAUUUUCGAUAGUCCUACUUACAAAGAAAACUCUCGCAAAUCUCCAAAUGAAAUUCCAGGAACCAACUAUCAACUACACUUAUCAUUCGAGGACGAAUGAUCAUAAGUGGGGGAGGAUGUAACACCCCAUAUUCUGCGUGUACUAUUUCUAUUUAUACGACGCUUACAAAUUGCCUAUAGUUAUGGACUCGAUUUCUUAUAACAACCCGUAUUAUGCAUAUGCUUGUUCUAUUCUUAUAAUAGACAUAGCCUUAUAGUAUAGGUGAGGGACCAUGUUUCUUAUAUGAUUAGUGUUGAUUUAAACUAGCUCGGAAGGUGAUGUGAUGCCUUGCACGUUUCACAUGCAAGUUAACUCCAACGGGAGUAUUUAAACUCGAGACAGUAAGGUGAUAACUGAGCUUAAAGUUUAAAGUUAAGUGCUAAGUUAAAGCUAAAGGGAUUAAUAUAAUAGAAUAUGGAAUAAAAUAAGUGAACUGCUUACUUGACUUUAACUAAGCUAGUAGGUGACAAAUAGGUGCAUCACCUACUUGAGCUAUAUGGAUCUAGUUAAAAAGGCCAAGGUUUAUGGAUCAGAUUUGGGCCUAUGCUAAUGGACUCACUUGAGGCCCAAACUAAGUUAAAUAAAAGGAAAAUGAAAUUAUAGCCCAGCAGCCAAAUCUGCCAAGGCCCAAUAUAUUUAAGCCCAAGUGAAAGCAAGUAGGUGCAUCACCUAGUUUGACCUUUUGAGCUGCUUGAUGUACAUAAGCAGGUGCAUCACCUACUUGACAAAUUAGUUGCUGAAAAUGGACCAAAAAAGGGAGGUUCUAGAGGAUUAUUUUUUUAUGGUCAAGAAGGCUCCAUAUAAACCCAAUAUUAUCUGAUCUUUUCACUCAUUUUAACACACAAAAUUCACAAUUUUCUUCAGCUAUCUCUCUCUUUUCUCUCAAGAGCAUCCUAAAAAUUCCUUCUAGGGUUCUUGAAGAAAUCCUCAUAACUGCAAACCAAGGUUAGAGAAACAAUUAUGGAUUUAGCUUAAUUCUCCCAUGGAAGACUAAAAAAAUGUUGUUCAUGCUUAAUUAUAGGUACAAGGCAGAAGUUCCCCCAAGCUACUGCUCACUUUCCUUAAUUAUUAAGAUACUUUUCUCUUCUUUUUGGUUUAAGUGUGAAGGAAAGUUGAAGUUCUAGAGGAAUUCAAGUUAUAAGGAGAAGUUGCAGAAAUUGAGGAAAGGUGACUGCUCCAUUUUCCUCCUCCUUAUGUAUGAGUUUGAGUGAGGAAUUAUGGGUGUGCAGUUAUAAAGAACUCAAGGGGAUGGUGAGUUCAAUAAUUGGUUGUAUGAUAAGGAAUAUUUGAGGCUGUUUUAUGUGUAUUGUUGUUGGUGCAGCUUGGGUAAUCUUGGAAAAUUAUAUAUAAUGUAUGUAUUGGGCAGAGAAGGAGGGUGUGGUGAUACACAUCAUUUUAAGGUUUGUAUGGGCUCAUUAUCCGUCAAAGUUAGCUACUAUUUUACAAGGCUCACGGUGUGAUAGCUGCUAAUUUUAGUUUAUCAUGACUUAUAUUGUAGAUUAAAACCUAAAAGGGGGAGGUUGAAUAGUGAUAGUUGUAUUGGUUAGAGGAUAAGGUAUGUAAGGCAAUUCGAUUUCCUAUUUCUUUGGCAUAAAUCCAACACUUGUAUUACAAAGUAAGCUUUCUAAAUGUCAUGGUAGUGACUGAUCCAUAGUUGCAGUUCCUACUCCCUAGAGCAUUAAAGUGAAUACACUAAUAUGACUUUAUUACUAAAUGUACUUGCUUACUCAACGAAGUACUAGCAUGCAAGGUUUAAACUCAUUUCAUCGUCAAAGUACCCUUGGCACGUAUUCCCCUUAUAUAAAUCAAAAUGAUCCUAGAUUACACAUGGUACAUAUGUUUAUAUUUUGGAUAUACAUAUAUGUUACCUUUUCACAUGUUCAUAUAUUCCCUUUAUUGGUUAUUACUACCAUUGUGUUAGACUAUAAUGUUACCUCACAAUAUCCCUACUUGCUCUAUUGUACAUUUUACUUGGAAUAUGUAUCAGUCAUUAAGUUGAAUCUGUACACACUCUCCUUUGGCUCCACGUUCAUGUAUACCUUGUAUUUGAUAUUAGUUAGUGAGUAUUUGGCUAUCAUAUAGAGUUCAAAUCUCCUAGCUGAAUGUUAAAUAUCUUCAAUUGAUAUGUGUUUCAAUUUGAGAUGUCGAAAUGCUUGUUGUGUCAUAUAAGUUCCUAAGUAUUAAGUUGGUGUCACAUUUGUUUCCCACGUCAUUGUUAUUAUCAUAAGUCAAUAUUCGUAUGUCUUCUACUACUAGUCCAUAGUUCCAAAUCUGAACAAUGAUUAUGACCACCAAAACAACAAUCUCAAAAGAGUUAUGACCAUCAAAAGAACAAUCUCCAAGAGAGUAACGAACAAUAAAACAACAAUCUCAAAGAUUAAAGAAUCUAAGUGAAGCAAUCUGUAUAAUUAUGGUUGGUAUCCCAGAGGAAAAUGCCUAGCAUGGGUCGAUCCCUACUGGUAUAAAAGAGUGGCAGCUCAGGGGCGAAAUCCUAGCAUGGGCCGAUCCCAAAUGGUAUAGAAGGGUGGCAGCUCAGGGGUGAAAGCCUAGCAUGGGCCGAUCCCAAUUUGUGGAAUUAUGAGGACAGCAUCCCAAGGGUUAAAAUACCUAGCAUGGGUCAUCCUCUUCUACCACUAAUCAGCUGGUCAUUUGUAUCAUAUGUUUUAUAAUGAUUAUAACGUACUACAUCAGAGUAAAGAAAAGAAUGUAACAUACACGAUUCCACAAGUAUAAGCAAAUGUGGUCUCUAAUCCUUAUAUAUUUGUAGUUGAUUUCACUUGAGCUCUCAUUUUUAAAAAUAGUUGUAUUAUGCCUUACAUAUUCAGUACAUUAUUUCGUACUGAUGUCCCUUAUUGGGGACGGUGCAUUUCAUGUUGCAGGUACAAGUACUCAACUAAUAGAUCUACCCAAUAGAAGCACAUGAUACUCAUCGAUUAUUGGUGAGCUGCAGUUUGAUUCGGGGAUUUGCCGAGUCUUUACUAUGCAUAUUUUCCUAGUGGUACAGCCAUGGAUUGCAGUAAAGACUUUGUAGACAUUGUAAAGCUAUCAUUGUAUUCAUAGUUUCACUUGUCACGUGUAUCAGUUUAGCUAGUCGACAUGUAUUGUAUAAGAAACUUCUCAUUGGUAAAUCCAUUUGCAUAGUAGUUUACUUUCUCAUCAUAGGUCACUUGUAAAACAUGUGUUCAUAUGGUAUUUGUCCGCCUCACCUAGGGUUGGGGUGUGACAAAAGUGGUAUCAAAGAAGUUUGUCCAAGUGAGUCUACAAAGCCGUGUCUAGUAAAGCCUUACUUAUGAAUGUGUUGCGCACCACAUUUAUAAUUAGGAGGCUUCUUGGACAUUUAGGAAAUGUUACCUUCCUUCAUAAUCCAGAUCGUGCGAUAGAGCGAAGUUAAGAAUUCAAUUUCCACUUUAACCUGAUCAUGUUAUUCAUAUUAUGCUUACUGUGGUUAAAGGUUAAUGCUAACUAAAAUGUCAACAGACUAGAUUGAGCUCAUUUUAUUCAACCAUCACACUCCACAAGGUAUGUAAAAUCUUUUAUUUUAUCUGCAUCUAAAGUUGAAUUUGUACCAUUUGUAUCACUUGGUACAAUUUUGAAAAAUAUAGUAUAUGCUUAAAAACUGAUGGGUUACCAAGUUACACAUCUGUGUUGUAGCAUUUCCAAGCACAUCUUCUUAAGAGGAUGUAACCAACUCUUGAGUUCUAUACUUCCUCCAUAUUUAUAGGAUUUGUUCCUAUAUAUGACACACAUUCUAAGUCUGUGAUAUACAUAGAAUUUCUAGUGUUACGCAUAUACUCGAAAAUGAUGUUGUUGGACCAGUUUCUUUUAGUUGGAAGAAGGCAGUGGCACAAUUCGAAAGGUAAAAUGUAUCAGUGCAAUAGUGUUACUAGAGAGGUACCUAAUUGACUGGCAAGGCCCACCUUCUCACCAUAUAUCAUCCCAAAUAUGUUAAUAUUUGGCUUUUUAUAUGGUAUGUACCAACCACCCCGAAUAAGUACUAAUAACAUUUGUAUUCUUUUCAUGGGUAUAAAACUUAGGAAUAAUUGUGCUAAUUGCUACAAAUGAUAUAUGUAUGAUAGUUCCUACUAUAAUCUAUGUUUUGGCUAUAGAGGAUUAUUAUAUGACUAAAGGGUAAGGUUAAUAAAAGGAAAAUUGAUUAGUUAGACCUAAGUUGUGAUUAGUUAGGUUGUACAUAGUGGGAUUGGAGUACAUGAACUACUAAUUUUGAUUAAAGGUACUUGUUAGAUAGGAAGCAUGUGAGAAUGAAGCUUGAAUGACACGGGCCGAAUAUGUANNNNNNNNNNNNNNNNNNNNNNNNNUAUGUCAAAUUCCCUAAACAUAGGAGUAGGGGGUGAUAUGAGGAUGCUAUAGAGGAGUGAGAUAGGUGGCUAUGAAAGCGUGAUUGCUAAGUGUCAAAGGCAAGAAUAAGGUAUCAACUCUUCAACCCUAAUGAGUUAUAAAGGCGCACCCGGGAACAACUUUGUGAACCUUUGUUAGACAGAAAAGUCAUUUUAGUAUUGAUUCAAGUCUUGAAAUUUGGUCUUGAUAACAACAAGAUAAAAAAGGGGAAUACAAAGGUUACCUAUAUAAAAGAUACAUGGACCUAGUUCAUCUACAUAAUUAGUACAAAAGAGAAGUAGAGCAUUACACACAUGUAUAAACUUCCAUCAAAUUGAAUAGAGCUACUACAUGAUUCAUUUAAUAUAUGCAUGCAGUAAUUCAUCAAUCAUAGUCCAGUUAGGGGAGAGGAAAAACUGAUCAGAUGAUGGUUGUUCUUAUAUGCUACCUUUCUUGGGAAAAAGGUCGGAUCACCCUCUCAUGUUUUAAAAAAAAUCUAUUAGUAUGGCAAGACUUAUCUUGUUAACACAAAAGAAGCUAACUCUGAGAUGUUAUGAAUAAUGAUAUAAUUUAUAGGUACCUAACAUUUACUUGUUAUUAGAGUUCAUGUUUUAUGGUGUGUUCAAGCUUCACUAUUUAUUUUAUAUUUCGACCUUCAAAGGGAACCAGACAUUGAGUGUGAUAUAACACAAGUUAGUAAUGAAGGCAAAGUUGACAUCUGCCUCCUACUCCAAAAGAUGAACUAUGGAGGAUUUUGUUUUUCU